rnacentral:lncRNA from 1 species
UUUAAAUGAUAAUUAUGACAAAAGUAAUAAAUAUAUUGUAAAUUUUUUAUCAUCCAAGUUGUAGAUCAAAUCUACUUAACUUUCAAAUUAUAGCAGAUAAUAUUUAUUAAACACUUAAAUGUCGUAAUUUUUAGGCUUGGCGAGCAACGACGAAUUAACGAGGUACUCCUUUAGCUUCUGAAAAGCCUCUUCGCACUCGGCGGUCCAUUGAAGUUUCUUUCCCGCUUUCAAAGCUUUAAAAAAUGGCUUGCACCUAUCGGUGGCCUUGGAGAUGAAACGACUCAAGGCGGCUAUCCGGCCAGCUAAACUUUGGACUUCCUUGAUAGUACUUGGUGACUUCAUCCCAAGAACCGCCCAGAUUUUGUCAGGAUUAGCCUCAAUUCCCCGCUGUUGUACCAUAAAUCCAAAGAAUUUGCCCGAAGUCACCCCGAAUACACAUUUCUCAGGAUUUAGGCGCAUCUGAUGCUUUCUCAAAAUAUUGAAGGUGUCUCUGAGGAGCCCCGCGUGAUCACUGGCGUACAUCGACUUUGUUAUCAUAUCAUCGAUGUACACCUCCAUGGUACGACCGAUUUGCUGUUUGAAGACCUUAUUCAUCAAACGCUGAUAGGUGGCGCCCACAUUCUUUAAACCAAAAGACAUAACCUUGUAACAGUAUAACCCACGGUUGGUGAUGAAGGCCGUUUUAUCUUGAUCAGGCUCGUACAUUGAAAUUUGGUUGUACCCGGAGAAAGCAUCCAUGAAACUAAGCAUCUCGUGCCCCGCCGUAGCAUCGACCAACUGGUCUACCCGGGGAAGCAAGAAGCUAUCCUUAGGGCAAGACUUGUUUAAAUCUAUGAAAUCUCCACACAUGCGCCAUUUCCCGUUAGACUUCUUAACCAAUACAACAUUGGAGACCCAAUUGGGGUACACCGCCUCCCUAAUAAACCAUGCUGCUAGCAAUCAAUCCACUUCUUGUUCAAUGGCGUCAUAGUAUUUCUAGUUGAAAGUUCGACGUUUUUGCUUGACAUGCCUAUGAUGUGGAUCGACAUUGAGCUUGUGACAGGCGAUAGAAGGCGGGUUACCCGGCAUGUCCGCGUAAGACCAAGCGAACACAUCUAAGUUUUCCUUUAAGAACUCAAUAAACUGCUCUCGGUGUUGGUCAGAGAGGUUGGAGCCUACCUUGACCAUCUUGGUUGGGUCCUUUUUGCAGAUCGAAAUAGACACAAGAUCCUCAAUCGGUGCUCCUCGCUUUUCAUUUUUUGGUACCCGGGGAUCCAGGGGUACCUCGACUUCUCCCAUUGAUGCUGAAUUGGGACUUUGGGGUACUUGUGGUGCCCCAGGAGCUACCACAUCCACUUGCAUUGGCCCAGCUUCAUAUGGCGUUUGGGGUACCUGGGAGUUCGUAGACCGUUGAGCUUUCUUACGUGCAACUCUCCGGCGUCUAGCCAGUGCCCGCUUGGAUAGACUGGUAAAUGGCCUUGUACUGACGGGGUACCCCUCCAGGAACAUAUUGGUGGCGAUUUGAUAGCUCACUUUUGAUGCGACUGAGUAACACCCUCGAGCCGAUUGCUGAUCCCUUUUGAUUAUGAUAAUUUCCCCAGCGGUUGGAAUCUUCAUAGCGAGGUAAUGCAUGGAGAUUGCCGCUUUAGUUGUUGCUAAGAAUAGUCUUCCCAAGAUGAUAUUAUAGGCACCUGGGUGAUCCACAAUAAUAAAAUCAAUCAUAUGAACAACACGGUGAGGUACCUUACCAAGUGUAACGGGCAGCAUAAUGAUGCCCUUUGGGAUAACCAUAUCGUCGGCGAACCCAAUAAGAGGUGUAACAUAUGGGGUGAUCUUUGGCGAUUCAAUCAAUAGUUGAUCCAAGACGCUUUUGAAAAUGAGGUACGAGAUAUCUUCAGUAUCUUCCUCUGUGAAAAGGAUAGGCGGAGAAUGGUGGGGUACCCCAGGUACCCUAAGUUGAUUUUGACAAGCGAAGUUCACUUCUUUUCCAGGACGAUCCAAAAUUGGUGGCUUGCUGUAACGUUUGAUGGCCCGUCUAGAUUCCCCCGCGAGGGUAGGAUCCACCGCUAUCAUUCGAACAUACACGCCUUUCUUAGACCCCUGGGGUACCUCAGUUUCGGGAUUAAGUUUAGCAACUUGUUUACCCUUAUCUUGCUCCAAGAACUUCCUUGCCUCACGCAUAUCAGCCACAAAUUUCUUGAGAUACCCACUCAGAAUUAGUGACUCAAUUUCUCCCCUCAAGUGAAAGCAUUCGGCGGUGCUAUGGCUGAAAUCUUCAUGAAACUCACAAUACUUCAAGCUACGCUUCAUAUUUGGGUAUUUCCGAAUUGGCUUAGGUGGGCGAAGCAUCCCCGUAUCCCUAAUAUGGUAAAAAAUCUGUUCUGGAGAUUGAUUCAAAUGAUAGAAAGAGUCAUAUCGAGGUUUUUGUGGCGCUUCCUGUUGUUCUGGUGGUACCUGUGGGCUAUGUACUUGGGGUACUCGAGAGGAUACCUGAGGUACCCAGGGUACACCAGGAAUAUUCAGUCCUCUCCCAGGUGGGGUUGGACGAGGUGAGCUGUGUACCCGGGGUGCUUGAGAGGGUACCUGACUUACCUCGGCUCUCUUGGGUUUCUCCUUGUUUCUCACAACUUCGACUCUGUCUUCCUCCCGCUUUAGGUUACACUUCUCAUCCAUUUCUAUUUGUUGCAGGGCUCGAGAAUGAGUUUCCCCAAAUGAAAGAGGGCGAUGUUUUUAAAAUGACCGCCAUAACUUCCCUAAACGCAGAUUCUUUUCAAAAUGAGUGAGAGUAUGUUGGUGACCAAAUGUACCGGUACGCAACACCUCUUGGUGGAAGCGGGUUACAUACUCGGCUAAAGACUCCGAAUCCCUUUGCUUGAUGAAAGCAAGCUUGGAGAAUGUUAUAUCUUGGGCGGAUGCAUAACCAAACUCAUGAACAAAAUCUUUUAGGAGCUGGUCUAAGGAGGAUACACUACCUGCCUUCAACGAUCGGAACCAUGAUUUGGCUGGUCCGGUGAGGGUAUGCGGGAACAUCCGGCACAUAGCAUUGUCGCCCACUCCUUUAAUCAUCAUCUGGUCACGAUACAACUCAGCAUGUUCCACGGGAUCCGAGGUACUCUAGUAUUGUUGUAUUUGAGGCAUGGUGAACGCUUCCGGGAGAACCGCUAUCCGAAUCUCCAUGGUGAAUGUCGAGUUAUACGCUGCUGGCGCUAGAGCAUUGGUGGGGUUUUAUUUUUCAGAAAGGAGCUUCACUUGAGCUUCGAGGUACUCCAUUUUUUCCAGGAACUCGCGGGGUACCCCAAGUGCACCUGAGGAUGCUGCAGUUGUUUGGGAAGCUCUUUUGGCGUUCAACUUGUGCCGGAGAUCUUCAUGUACUUUUUGUUUACAUUUGAUACCCUGGCUACUACGGGAAUAGCAAGAAGCAGUGGAGCGUUCUUCCUGAGAGCCACCGGUUUGAAACUUUAAACGGGUGCCUGACGGCCCGUGCUUUGGUCUACUUCCCUCCGGUAUUUCAGAUCUUGGUACGAUCUGCUUCUCACCGCGUGAAGGUGGAACAUCUUAAGUUACCGGGGAAGUGGCUGCUUCGGGUACCCGAGAUCCUACUGCUCUGAGAAUCGCAUGAGCCAAAUCCUCAAAGUAUUUAUGAGUAACGGGCUCCUCGUCGGGUUGAAUACCAGCUGAUUGCUUAACAGAUUUGCCUUUCUCUAGGCGGGAUGCCCUUCUAGUCGAGUCACCCCUCUCAUCACUGCUGUGGUCCUCCACUCUAUCAUGACUUAGCAUUUGGUUAUCAACGGGUACGUCGGGUGCCAUGGUUGCGCAAGCGCACGUACCGGGAAGCUUAACACCGUGAGGAGGCUUUUUGCGCGAUCCCCACAGACGGCGCCAAUUGUUUGCGGCUAAUUUUUGGGUCAAUGAAUAAAAAAAACCAUUAAACCAACCCAAGAGCAAUAAAUUUAUAUUUUUGUCGGGAAGCGGGGUGCCUCGCUUGUUCGGCACGUGCAUGCUGUUUAGGUUUUUUGUGGAGUUGAGGAGGGUUGAGAUGACGGUGGAUAUAGAGGGGGUCUGACUUCAGGUGCGGAGGGCUGGUGAAACUCGCCUUAAACCUGCGAAACAAUUAAAAAAAAAAGAAGUCAGAGGUGGCGCCGGGGGUGGCCGGCGACCACACUCCGACGCUCAAGUCAGAGUUGGGUUAUCUCAGGUUAGAGAGCUUGCAAGCUCUCGGUAAUGGAGGUUUUGAGGUUGAAUAAACCCUAGUUUUUUUGUGGUGAGUCUGUUAACUUCUUGAUAAAAAUCAAAUCUGAGUAUUUAUAUGGUGUACCCCAGUCACCGUGCCACCUGGCGCUAUUUUAGUGGUGUUCCCUGCUGUCAUGUCAGGAAUAUUCUUAUUUUCAUGCGUAUGACGGCUUAGACAUUUCACAAAAUUCGUGGAGAGCAAGUUUGUGGCGUAUUCACGUGCUGGGCGUAGUGGAGUAGUCUCGCGUACCUCUGCAAUUCCGUUGUAAUUUUGCAGGCGUAGCAGGAAAAGCUGAUGGUCCCAACUGUCACAAUAUCAAACUUUUGGCGGAUUCGCUUGAGUGAUAAGCGGCUGUCUCCUCUUUUGCGGCGGUCUCCUCUUUUGCGACGCGAGGUUUCCUUAUCUUUUGACACAUAUUAAACCGAUCUUUUUGAGAUUCGAGGCCCACAUAUCCCUUUACAUUUUUACGAAGACUUUUUACAUCUUUAUAUGGUGUACCCGAGGUACUCCCGGAGUGCCUAGGGUAGCCAGGGUACCUAGGGUACCCGAGGUACCCAAGGUACUCGAGGUAAACUAAUUUCUUAAAUAUCAACACGUGGCGCUUCAUCAUUAGCCUCAUAUUUCCUUCCCAAAAACACAAGGUUAAUUUGUUUUUUUCUUAAAUACUAAUGUAAAAUAGAUUCUCUUUCCAAAAAUAAAACAGACUGAAACAGAUCCAUGUGUGAUGAUGAUGAUACUUGCAUUAAAUUCAUUUCUUUUAAAGUUUCCAAUAGGCCAGAGAACAAAUACGUUUAAUUUGUAUUUUUUUGAAGUACAAAAGUAAAACAGAUUCUCUUUCUAAAGCAAAGUAGUAAUAGUAAUACAGAUCCAUCUCACCAUACAUGCUUUAACAUAUUUUACUCGUCAUAAAUUCUUUUAUUUUAAAUUUUAAUCAAUUAUUUAUUUGCCACCCCUUUGAACUCCUCUUAAAAUCCCUUUUGUAUAUUUUUAGAUUUAGCCUUAGCUAAAAUUAUAGAGCUUUAAGUUAAAAAAAAAAAGAGUUAUAAAAAAAAGUUCAAGAAAAAAAAAAUUAAUAUUUUUUGUAUGGGAAAAUACAAAUUUGUUUUAAAUGAAAUAUCAAAAUAUCUGAAACAGAAGAUUUUGGGUUAAAAUAGAUUUUGUAUCAAAAGUUGGGCCUUAAUUAAAUAGAGUUUAAUUUUUAUAAGCGGCCACUCAAGCAAAAAUCUAAGUGAUUUAAUUCUAAUAGAUUUUUUAUUAUACAUAUCACUAUCAGUAGACUUUUCAGCAUUAAAAAAAAAGUGAGUAUUGCACACAUAUACAUACCUUUUUGAGUUUUUAAAGACUUUUUUCAAAUUUGUUUCACACUGAUUUCAUUUAUGGGGUAAGGCCCCUUUAGUGAGUUUAGUUGAAGAUUCUAUGGACUCUGAAUCUAUUUAAUUGAGGGAUGAUAUUUGAUCCCUUUAUUUUUUCGCUUGGCCCCCAUUUCUUAAUUAAUCUAUUUAUUUUUAGAAUUAUCAUUUUUAUUAUUUUUUAUUUAUCUAUCAUUUUCAAUUACUAGCACCACUGAGAUGUUGAAUAACUUUAUCAAAUUUCAACUUCUUUGCAGUCAUUGAUUACGAUUGUGAAACUUCCACAAAAGAAUUUGUAAUUGCCGUUUACCAAACCAUGGAUAUUCUUAUGGAAAAAGCGAAGAAACAUUGUCACCGAAUAUCUCAUUUUUUAAUCUUUCUCUGUUUUGUUCAUUUAAUUAAUGAUCUACCAGUUCAUGUGGUGUGCUUAUGUGUUUUAGAAGAUUUAGAGCAAAGUUGAAGCUUGAUUAUGUAUUAUUAAUGUAAACUAGAAUCUUAUAUGCUAUUGACAAUAUCAAUUAGGAAUGACAAAAAGACCAGACCUGUAUUUUGGCCCAAUUGGCAUCACCCAAAUUUUUUGGGCUUUGACCCAAUUUUAAGGAUUUCGGGUCGGGCUCAGGCCUAAAUAUCAGGGCCCAAUUAAAUUUAGGUUAGGGUUCAGACCUCUUUGCCCCGAUCCGACCCGACCCGAUCCGAUUCGAACGGAAAUUAAAAAAUUAAAAAAAUUAUUUUAUUUAUAUAAUUAAUUAUGUUUAUUUUAUUAUUUUAUAUAAUUAUAUGGUUGAGACCUUGAAUAAUUUUUAUGUUUAUGUUAAAUUUUAAUGUAUAUGGGAGGUUAUGUCCAUUUUUUUAACAUUUGAAUUACUUAAAAAUACAAAAAAUCUUUAUAAAAAAAAAGUAUGGACUUGGGAUCUUUUAUUUCAAACUAGAAGAAGAUUAUUAAUUUAAAAUUGUAAAUUGUUGGUGAAUACAAAUCACUUGUUAAUUGAAAGUAAGUCAUUUUUUAUAUUGACUCCCUUGUAAAUAUGGAAAAAUCACCCAUUAACACUGACUUCCCUGCAACUUUUUUUCUUAUUAAAAAAAGAUAAUUUUAGGAUCUCAAUCAUAAAAAAAAGGAGGGAUUUGGUUUAAAGAUUUGAUUUCUCCACUAAGGAUAAGGAUGCAGGUUAGAACAUCCCAUGGAGUAGAUGUUUGUCUCGUAUUUGAAGUAGGGUGAUUUUAAAAAUAAAUAGAAUAAAUUAAAAAUUCGGAGCUGUUAGAGAUAAAUUAAGGGAUCAAAUAUCACAACUCUUGCUGGAGCUCAUUUGUACAUUAUAUAAUCAAUCUCGAGAAUAAAUAGUCUCUAUAAAUGACUUGCAUGCACAUGCAUAUGGUUCCUUUGGACCCAAUGGGUCAUAAACUCCUUAGGCCUAGCGAUGGUUUUUUUGGCCUAAUAGAGGUCAAAUUUGUGUUUUGUCACACAAUUAAAGUUUACAAAGACUGCAUUUAAAAAUAUGCUCACCCCAAAAUUAAUUACCAAAGAAGUAAAACCUAAAUAAUUAUUUUGAUUUGAGUAGUGAAGCUAAUUGUUUUCAUCCGGGUUAAACCCGGAUAAUGUUAAAAGAUAUCAUGUGUAUGUUUAUUUCUCAUAUAUAUCAUUUGUAUGUUUAUUUAACACAUAUGCCACGUAAUUGUGAUAAUAAAAAUGAUAGCAAGGAAUAAAAUUUAAAUGUUAAUACAAAAAUCCAAAAAUCAAUUUAUAAUUUCAUGGGCAAUGAUAGCCAACUACCCCUUUAAUUGUCAUAAUAAUAUUUUGGUCGGUAUAACUUUAAAUUUAGAAAUACUAGCUGUAGUUCCUAUUGCUAGCUCACGACCGUCGGGUAUAAUGUAAAGAGCUGACAACUCCUUGAUACAACUAACAGCAUGGACUAUAACUAAAAACGGUAUUUAAACUCACGGGGAAGACACUAUCAUUCUUCAGAAUUAAAGGGUAUCUAAAUUGAAGCAAAAUCUUUUUGUUUAUGUUAACUUUAGAUUGAAAUCUGGGGCUGAGAUUAGAAAAUCAUUAAGUUCUGUGGACAUUACAAGUCAUAUGACUUGUGCAGGUCUAAUGUAUAAAGGUCUACAAAUUAACCUUAAUGCAUCAGCAAUUUCUGUGACUAAUUUUGUUAAUUCAAUAGUCUAAUCCCUUACAACUCCAUGGACGCGAAAAAAGUUGAUCAUCAAUUCAACACGAGUUCUUCACAUGGUUUCUGAAGCCUUGCGUGAUAUUCCUCUUUUAAUUAUCAAAAUUUUAAAGAAUGGAUGAAUUAUUUAUAUCUAUUUUUUAAAUGUAAUACAAAAAUUAAGUGAAAUGAAACAAAACAGAAAACCAACAAAAAAUGCUAUCUAUUCCCUUUAAUGUUUGCAUCAUUAAUUGUAAAAUCAUCCUUGAAUUUGAGAGCUGCAUUUCUAAGCCAAGUCCCCCGACCAGUCAAGUCCUUGGACAAGAACGUAGAUGCUUCAACAUCUGAUAAGCUGUUUGACCAAGCAAUUCUUUUUGAUCUAUCAGCUCCCGGACCUGAACACCUGUAUUCGCCGUAGUACAACUUACUGCACAAUCAAUACAUCAAAAACAAGGAAACAAGUUAGACACUUGGCCUGUGUGUGAUUAAUUUCAAUUUGGUGCACACACUAUUAAAGCAGAUUAAUUGAAUAGAUUAUAUACUUGUGCUUGGCAUGGUCGUUCAGAUCAUUCCAUCCUUGGGGCACUAUCACGUCGGACAUGUAAGUCAGGGCAUACACAACCCUAGAAUAAGCACCCCAUGGCCUUCCAAGCACUGCCUUACCAACGCCGGAAAUCUUGCAAUCCAAGAAAGUGAAUCCUGUGUUUUCUUCUGAUGACACUCUUUUCUGAGCAGUUAUAGCUCCGCCCCACGUGGAAAGAGAAUGUAUAAGGCAUCUCUGCAAAUUAAGGUCACGAAUCAACGUUGUGAAACUUAAUUAAUUAAUUAAUUGUUUAUGUUGGAAAUUAAGGUAGCCUAAUGAGAAUUAGUACUCACUUCAAAGAAGGAGUUAGCAUUUCCACUGAUGAAAUCUGUGGCUCCUUCAAUGUAGCAUUUGCUAUAAUAAUGAUUUCCGGUGUCAUCUAGGAGUGUAUGUUGGUAAGACAGAAUCCUGCAGCCGUAAAAUGCAGCUUUAUCCGCAGAGACUCUUAGCGCAACUGCUUUGCCGAAUGAUCCAUAUGUGUUCUGUAAGAUAUUAAUUUAUCAAGGCAUAAGUUAUAUACGUAAAUGGUAGCUAGCAAUCAAGGACUUCAUCAUAUACGCAACGCAAAUACGUACCUGAAUCGUUAGAGAUCGUGCAACAAAAUGAGAAGCCAACACAGUGAGAGUUGCAGAAUCAAGAAUGGAGCCGCCAUCGCUCCAUGUUAUUUUGGUGUGAGAUGCCUUUGUCGCACUGAUUGUUAUGAAGGGCUUAUUAGCAGGCACAAUAAUCUUUUCUCUGCAUAUAUAUGGUCAAGCACAUGUAAACAUAUAGAAGAAAUUGUGUAAUGAGUUCCAGCUAUUGAAACCAACAAAAUUCAAUUGAAAAUAUAUAAAAGGAGAGAUGUAACGGUUAAUUACUCACCUGUAAAUUCCUGGGGCAACCGAAAUGAAAACCAAUUCUGAGUUAUUAGCUGGUACAGAAUCAAUGGCUUCUUGUAUGGUCCUAAAAUCUCCUCUGCCAUAUUUUUCAACUCUAAUGAGAACAGCAGUGGAAAUAUCUUUGGGGAUUGUAGCAGAAAAGCCGCAGGUAGCCGUAAUUGAAGCAAAAACAAUUGCUGUUGCAACAAACAGAAUGCUAACAUUUUGACUGUAAUUCUUCAUUGUAACAGAACCCAUAUAUGUUAACGAUAAACAUUUUCUACACCUUUUAAUAUAGGACUUGCCCUGCCCCCAGAAGAAAUUACAGAUAAUCAUGUACUUACUCUACUUAAUUAGAAACCAACUAAUAAAGAUAGGUCUAAUUAGAGAUAGUUAAUGUCAUAUGACUUGUAAUGUUAACAUCAAAUGAGACUUGACUAUUUUUCAUUCUCAACCGCAGCUGUCAAUCUAAAGUUAACAUAAGCAAAUGACAUAAUUUAGAUACCCUUUUAAUUUAGGAGAAUGAUAGUUCUUUGCUGAAAGUUUGAAUACCUUUUUUAGUUAUAGUCCAUUGACUGUUAUUAGUUUUAGGGAGUUGACAGCUCUUGACUUUGAAAAUAUUAAUAAUAAAACCUUAUAUCCAGCGGUUGUGAGCUGACAAUAUUACAGAAACCAAACUAUUACUAUCACGUAUUUGGCUAUCAUUUGCCCAUGAAAUUGCACAUUCGCCUUUUGAUUUUUGUUGUACUUUAAAGUUUUAAUUUUCUUACUGAAUUAGUAUCAUUUUUAAUUGCCACAAUGAAGUUAACUUUCUUAGGACUCGGGCUUGAUGCUUUUUUCAUGUGACACGGAAUCUUUACUGAUAUAUUUUGCGAUCCCUACUAUGCCUUGAAACUGAAAAUUUUCUUUUGACAUUUAUUUGGCCCCUUACUUUAAUUUGGUUCAUCAUCGGCCCCCAUAAAACAGAAGCAACGAGGUUUGUCAAUUACAUGGAGUCUGAUUUGGUUUGCUUCGUUUCUAUUCCAAAUUAAGAAUGUAUAGUUGUUUCUUACUCUUUAUCCUAAUCAAAGUACCUAGUAUAUGGCUUUCAUUCAUAAGAAAUGACCAAUCAAAUCCUUGUGCAUAAACAAUACAUGCAAGCAAAAGUAGAAAUGCUGCAAAUGGCAGGCAGGUUUGAUCAUGUUCAAUAAGCAACCAACUUAAUUUAAUGGGAAAGCUGCAGUUGAGUAUGGAGAAUAAUUAAGUUAAUUAUGUCAGGAUUAACCAACAAACACGACAUGGCCUGAUAGAAAAUUUUCUGAGCUUUUUCUUUUGCAACUAAUCUCAUAGCUGAUGGGUGAUGACUGAACUUGAAUGAGUAAUCAUGCAGCACGUAAACUAAGAUUUCACACACUUUAAGCAAUCUUGUAUUUCAAGCAAAAUCAGUUACUGAUGCUUUUGCUUACAAUGUCCUUAAUUCUCUAAUGUACUUGAAUGUUUACGUUAAGAUGACCAUGUUUUACUUCAACUGCAAGAAAUCGGCUAAGCAUGCCAUAUAUAAUAAGGUCUACAAACCUAAAUGCCUCAGUAAUUUUUUUGCAACUUUGCUUCAACCUUCACUGAAGCAUAUAUAGUUUAUUGGAAAUUUUAUUCUUUCAGCUUCAUCGAGAACCGUUAAAAUUUGAGCACAUGCACACGGGUUCGGCUACAAUGAAGUAUGUUAACAUUAUGUUUCCGGCUACAAUUGUUUUUGCUUCACUUAUGGCUACCAGGACUGCUGCUACUAGGUCCAUAGAUUUGUCUACUAUCAUAAAUUAAAUGAACUUAACUUUCAAGUUAUAGUACUUAAUGUUUAUUAAAUACUUUAGUGCAAUAAUUUUUAAGCUAUAGCUGCCAAAUCUCAGCCCCAAGCUGGGCUUAAGUGCUCUGAUCUAGGAGCUGAUAGAUCAAGAUGGGUUGCUUGGUCAAACAACUUAUCAGACAUACGCUGAAGCAGCGCUAGUUUCAUGCCUGACAUUACUGGCGGGGAAGCUCGUCUUAGACAUGCACCUACCGAAUUCAAGCAUGGCUUUACAAUCAAUAAUGCAAAAACUGAAGGGAAUAGAUAGGAUUUUUGUUGGUAUGUGAGUUAUUAUUUCAUUUAAUUUUUAUUAUGCAUUACAUCUUAAAGAAUAGAUAUAAUAAUUCAUUCAGUCUUAAAUUAAUGAAGUUAGACAACAGAUGGCUUAACUGUGAUCACCUCCAAAACUUCCAUAAUGCGUAAUGAAAGUUCCCAUCGAAAAAAGGGAAAAAAAAAAGAAGGAUGUUGUCGAAGAGUUUGGCAGAAUAGCUUUUAAUUUUAUUUGGCCGUCGCACGUAGGGCAUUAAUUUGGGCUGUACUCAGCUUUUUUUUUUCCCUCUCUUUUUGGCAAUAAAAAGGUCAUCCACACAUAUCUCAAAAGAUAUUACUUCAGUGGGGUGUGUAUAAUCCUUCUGACUUUUCAGUUUACAUUGCAAAGGAGUCAUCGUGUUUCUUCUAUGCUCAUUGCUUCGUAAGUAAUUGAAUUAACUUUCACUCUUUGAAAACUUUAUGUUGAAAUUGAUAAUUGGCUUUGUUGCUCAUGAGAUUACAUUGUUUUGUGUUGAGUAGCAAGUGCGAGGAACAUUCUUGCUAAGUUACUUUAUUAUGCAAUGAAUUUAUAAUUUAUAACUACUAAUUAAAUUCAUAAUUUAUUAUGGCAAGACUUUGAAUGAAGAAGUUAAGAAAGCAAAUCAACACAACAUUAUGCGCAAAAUCUGGAUUCUUUAGGGAGGAUGCCAAAUUUUGCUUCUCUACUUUUAUGCUUUGCGUUAUACUCCUUCAAUUGUGAUAUACCUCUCUUUAUAUAGACACUAAGGUUUCACAAAAAUAACAAGUCUUAAAAGACUUGAAUUCUUUUUAAAAUAAGAGUUUUUUUUCCUCUUAUAAUUCCUAUGAAUCUGAAUCGGAACAAAUAAGAUAUUCUUGCCUUACUUGUUUGCAAGAAAUAUUUAGAGCAGUUAAUUAAAUGUCCUGUUUGAACCAACUUCUUGCUCUAAAUAAAUCUUACGCGUCAAUUAUAGAAUCCCGUCAUUAAUUAACUUGCUAAUUUAGAAAUCUAAUAAAAUUAGGAAACAAAUAUUCUUAAUAAAUUAGUAUCUCACUCAAUUAGGGAAUUAAUAAAUUAAUCCCUAUUACAAGAUAUGCAAUAAAUUAAAUUCUAAUUUAACUAGACUUACCAUAAAAUGCCAACUAUAUAAAUAAUAGACCUAACAAAUUUGUUUUCUAAUAUUUUGACUCCAAAUGAUAUUAAUUCGUAACUACCAAAUCCUUAAUUCAUUAAAAGAAAUUAUUGACUUGAAGAUCUGGUCGUCAUAAAUUAAUCAAUAAUCGCUCCAAAUAUUGGAAAAUUAUUACUUAGAAAUUAAACUAAGCAAUUUACUCUAAAUUUAUUUCAAAAUAACUAAUCAAUUAUCAUCUCAGUUUUCAGGUGCUACAACUGCUGCAGCAAUCUACAGAGAGCAUGCAUACAAAUUAUAGAUGCAAAUAGGAUUUCCGUUGUGGCAUGUAUAAGCUAUUGGGCACUCUUAGUGUUGGAUGGGUGGGUCGUCUAUCGACCCGACCUGUACUUGGUAACUGCUUUGCAAUUACCAUGUGCGUAUUUGGAAGUUAAGAAGGAAGUUGAUAUAAUAUUAACUUUCCACUUUGGCAAUAACUCCUAGAGAAAAAUAAUAACGUAGAGAUAGUGUGUGUGUGGAGAGUGAAUCUUUCAUCUUCUUAUCUUUUUCAUCAAGAUCAAAUAAGAACAUUGAACAACUAAUUAGAAAAAGGGCAUCUAUACUCUGAUCAGAGAAGGAUUUCCACUUGUGAUUUCUUUCCGACCAUCAACGUCAUCCAACACUUAAUUAUUCUGCUACUUAGAAAAAGGCAUGGCUUCUUGAAUUCCUUUAAUUUUUCCUUCAAUGAUAUCAGAGCCUUUUUUGUGUUGGAUUCGUGCAAAUGGUUGAGUUUAUUUCAUGAAAAUGCAUGAAUUUUAUUUGUUAAUUAUUUUUUCAUUUAAUGUAUGAUAUGAUGGUUGUUAAAUUUAUGUUCUGGAGUGCUAUAAUCACUAUAAAAAAUUAUGGAAUUGAAAGAUAUAAAAACAGCAUGGGGUUUAGGUUGCUUGAACCAUAAUAAAACAUGAAACCCAAAACUUUAUUUAAUCAUAUCUUAUGAUCUAGGCAAUUUGACAUUGUGAGUAAAUAUAUCAUCGGGAAGAUCUUUUCGAGAGUUUUCUAACAAUAUGUGAUUUGUUAAAAAGACUUAAAACGAAAAAGUUAUGGCUAAAACAAGAAUCUGGUCAGAUUAUGGUUAUAUAAGUUCAGAAAACCAUAAUUUUGUAGAAGAUGAUAAAUAGUGCUAGAAUCAAUUUUUUGAUGAUUCUAGCUUAUUUUGACCUCCAAUUGAAAAUAUAAUGGCACCACUGGAUUCAGGACAAAAAAUCGAGUCAGACGGUGCCGAACCCGAUGUCAUCGAAGCAACGAACAGCGACACAUGGGUCAUAGUCUCAUGCUGUGUGUGUGGAGGAGCGCAUGAUACUGUAGCACACUGUAUCGAAACUGUAGCAUAUUGUAGCACGCGUGAAUAGCAUGUGCCUACCUUUGCACGUGGGGAUGUGAAUCCAAAUUAAUGUUUUCCAUGUAUCUUGCUAUCCGGAACUCCGAUUUGAGCAUUGUUUGCGUCGUUUGAUCUGAAAUUUAAUUUUCUAUUUAUUUUUCACAUAAAAUCGAAAUUUCUAGUAAUUUCUCUUUUUUAGAAUAAAAUUUUGGAUCAAAUAUAUAAAGUCUCAUGGAUGAGCAUUAUAUGUUAAUAAAUAUUUCACUUUAGUGGGAGCUCGAAAAUAUUUUUUUUCAUGGAAAUUGGCUGAAAUUUGAUUGUAUCUCAUAUUAAUCGUUUGUUAAUAAUCACUAAUAUUAAUUUUAUGUUAUUUGUCCUAGAUGCCUCCCGUUAAAAAGUUGUGGACUAAUGAAGAGAGGUUAAUGACAAAUAGAGCUUGGGUUUCACCUAUGGAUCUAAUUGAGAUUAAUAAUGACUUAUCUUAUAAAGAAUUUAUGAAGAAAAUGGAGAAUUAUAAGAUGAACCCUAACCGUUCUAUAUGCCUGAACAAAGAAGGCAAAUAUGGGGUUUUAUCCACUUAAUGUAUGGAAAAGUGGAUACUAAGUAUACAAACUGGGAUUAUUAUCAAUGGGUCCUCAUAAAUUCCUUACAUGAUGAUGAUAACACUGUGAGGUACAAUUUUCUCACUUAAAUAUAGUAGAUUUUAUUUUAAGCUAACAAGCCCCUAAAAUUUAUAAUAUUUAAUUUUAAGAAAUGAUGACAUAAGUAAUGACAUAAGAAAUGAUGACAUAAGUGAUAACAUAAGUGAUGAUGUAAGAAGAAGUAUGUAGAAAAAGUUUAGACUUCUUGAAUUUAGUAAGUUCUUUAUGAAGAUUAAUCUCAAUCAUUGAUCAAGAGUUGUGGUGGCAAAAUCCUAACCCUCUAUUAGCCUUAAGAAAUUCUAUAAAUACCCCCCCCCACCUCUCAUUUUCAAUGCAACUUAGAAAUUUCAUUCCCUUUUAUUCUAAGUCAUAAUAACAAGAGUAGAGGAAUCCUUAACUUAGAAAGGUCUAGAGAAGUUAAGAUUAAGAGGUGAGUAACACUUCAACUGUAAUGUAAGGACAAAAUUCUUUUCAUACUUAAGUUCAGUUUUAACAAUUCCUUUAUAUUAUGAUGGCUAUUAUAGUGUGAUUAGUUAUAUCUUUAUAUGGUCGGCCCUGCCGCCUAAUAUGUAAUGCUAUGGUCAGUAGAUAUGUGAUGUUAUGGUCGAAUCUGCCACCUAAUAUGUGAUACUUAUACUUCAUUAUGCUAUGGUCGGCUAUGCCGCCUAUACUAAAGACUCUUGUUUUUUUUUUUUUAAAUAAUGUUGUGUGUUGAUUUUGUUAUGCAUCGAGGAAUUUCAACUGUUAUAAGUUGCAUUGGAUGCAUGCAUAUCAUGGACUACAUUAUGAAGAAGAUGUUUCAGAAAAUGAAUUUAUGAAAAAUAGGUGGUUGUACUACCAGGUGGCAAAGUUCUAAGGAGGGCAAGCCCUCAAAGCUAAGUUGAAAGAAAUCUUUUGGGGACGGCGAUACGUAACGCCCAAAAGAUCAACUAAUGAGGCCCAAUGACACACUGUUUAAAGAGUAAAAGUGCCAGCCUUGUAGUGCAGCAUACCUAGGGCCCAAAUAAAGUUGUUUUGCAUUUUCUAAGUUUAUUUUAAGAGCUUAAUAUGGUCAUCCAUAUGCAUCAUAAUUUAUACAUGCAUCAAAGUAUUAUCUUACUGGGCAUUAGCUCACUAAGUCCUCACAUUGCUGGUAAUGAUGUGUAAGGCAAGCUGACGCCAAGUCCUAACCAAGACGAAGUGCAUACGAGAAUAAUAGACCUUGAGAUUUUAUAAUGGGCUCAGCUUUUUUUAAAUAAAAAUAAACAUCUUAGUUUUGUGUAAAAUAAAGUUUUUAUACUAAGGAGUUUCUGUAUGACUCUUACUUUUUGUAAGAAAGUUUUGUUUGUUGUAAACUUUUAGAAUUCGCAUUUAUAGUAACUGUAUUUUUAAGUAUUUUUUAAAAGUAAAUAAUAUAGUGGAGUGUUACAAACAUGCUUGUCUUUAAGGCUCGCAUGUUAGAGGAGAUUGAGAACCCGUUUAACACAUAUUAUAUGCUGAGGUGUGAAAUUGAGCUGAUUGAGGAGUGUCAUUUUACUUAAAAAAUGAGGCAAAUCUCAGUACUUAGCAAUUACACGAACCUUCAGAAUGGUAGGCCAAUGAUAACUUUAUGAAAUGAGAGUUGUUAUGACACUUUUAGACUUAAAUUAGUAAUACUUAGAGAGUAAAUGAUGAACUUUUAUUGCAUUUUAGUUACAAUUUGCAUGAGUAUCCAUUUUAGUUUAUUUUUAAUAAAUUGAGUUGUUUUAGAAUAAUGUGUGUUAGAUUAUAUGUAUAAUUGUAGGUGACCGAAAGCUCGAGUUAUAAGGGAGGAAUGCUGCUGCAACAAACUUGUAUAAACAGUGAAAGAACUUGACUAUAGAGGAAUUGAAACAAGUUUGGAACAACACAGAUACUGUAGCUGUUGCUGUAGUAAUCCUAGAGUAAUGACAGACUAGAUUUCACGUGCAACAACUAAAAGAUUGAGAUAUAAAGUUUCCAAAUAUUGAGGAUACACGCCACAUGCUUUCUGUUGCCUUAAUUCUGAGUUAUAAAAGAAAUACAUAUGAAAAGAAAAAGGGAAAGCCGUCACCCAAGGAGAAUACCGAACAUAAAUAGUAAGAAAACAUAAAUUAAAAGAUAGUUUUGAGGGUUGUAACAACAUUUUGAGGAAGAAAUAGAGGCGAAAUCAUAAGGACCAAGCAUAUUUAAGUUCUUCUCCUUAUUUUCUUAUUUUCUAUUUACUUAAGGGAAUGUAUUAGAUGGCUAUAACAAUUUUGUUUGCUAUUCUAUCACAAAUUAUUCUAUCACAUUUUGUCUUAAUUGUUUUCAUUUCAAUUCCUUAUUCGAGCUGACCACCCAUUUAGAGGAUAUUAGCUAUGAAAGAGCCUAAAAAAGCUCUGACUUAGUGGAUCAAAUAAAGACAAUACUUAGUUUUAGAUUGAGUUUCUCAAGUUGAGUAAAUCUCAAUUUGAAUAAGGCCAUAUUUGAUCUAAAAUUAGUGAUAAACUAAACAUAGAGAAUCACCUUGUAGGGUAAAUGGAACCUAAGACGUUUAAUUCUAUAUUUAAUGUUGGGGGUAACAAGUGGUCAUUGUUAAGUUGCAUUAGGUAUAAGGUAUCCAACAGGCGAUAGCUAAGGAUGCAUGGGAAAUUCUGCCCAGUGCCGUAGUUGAUGAUGUAGUAAUGGUACUAUAAUUGAAAAAUAGUUAAAACCAUUAAAUGAGUUUAUUCACUCAACUACUCCAUUCUCAUUAGUUACAUCCUUGUGUUUGACGUGAGAGUUUUUUUAAUUGAAUUUUAUUUAUUGUGUUUUUAGUUUUAUUAGUUUAUUAGUUUUAUAAAUUAUCUUAUUUUAAUUUAGAAUGAAACUACACUAUUAAGAUUGCUAUAGCAAAUCUGAUAACAUCAAUCCUUAUAGAGACAAUAUGAAUACUCAUCAGUAUAUUACUUGUUAUAUACAUGUUGCUAUAAAUUCAAAUGCUAUUGGUGUCAAUGUGCAAGUGUACAUAACAAGUAAUAUAAUAAUGAAUAUACAAGAUCGUCUCUACAGGGAUUGAUGUUAUCAAACUUGCUACAGCAAUCUUAAUAGUGCAGAUUAUUCCAAGGUAAAAUGAGACAACUAAUGAAACUAAUAAAAUAACUAAAAUGCAAUAAAUAAAAUAAAUUAAAGAAAACUCUCACAGCAAACACAAGAAUAAAAUCAAUGAGAAUAGGGUAGUUGAGUGAUUAAACUCUCUUGAUGGUUUUGACCGUUUCCUCUAAUUUUAGGCCUGGUUGCUACAGCACUGAGCAUAAUGCUAUUGUAUCCUCAGCUGUUGUAUGUUGGAUGUCUUAUAUUUAUAUGCAAUAUAACAGUGAUCAAUUGUUAUGCCAACAUAAGAUAUAGCAUUACAUGUUUAGGUUCUAUUUACCCUACAAGGUAAAUCUCUAUGUUUAGUUCAUCACUAAUUUUAAAUUAAGCAUGGCCCUUUUAGAAUCAAGUAAAACUCAACUCAGGAAACUCAAUUUAAAACCAAGUAUUGCUAUGAUAUGUUUCACUAAAAUAAGCCAUUUUUUGAUUUUUUUCUUGCUUGCAACAUUAAAUGGGUGCUCAGCUGAAAUAAUGAACAUAAAUAAAUAAUACCAAAAUAAAAUGCUAUAGCAAACGUGAAAUUCAGUCAAGGAACCAUUAAAAUUGUUUAUCACUCAACCACAAUUAAAUUAGUUCAUGGUUUGCGAAAGAAAAAUAAACAACAAAGUUUUAGCCAUCAAAUACAUCCUCAUAAUUAAAAAGUAAAUAAGAAAACAAGAGAAGAAUAAAAAAAAAGUUUCUUAAUUGAUCUCCAUAAAGUCUCCUUGUUGCAGCUUUAGUUUCAAUCUUUGAUUCUCUUUUUCUCUUGUUUCUUUUCGGUGUUUUUUCUUAGUUGACAGCUUCUCUCCUUUUUUUUCCUUUGUGUGUGCUUCUUUUAUAGCUAAAAAUUAGGGUAAUAGGAAGUCUAGGGCGUGUAUCUUCUAGAUGAGGAAACUAUAGAUCGCAAUAUGUUAAUUACCUCAUGUUAAAUCUUUUCUUUCAAUGCUCCAGGAUUGCUACAGUAAUGACUACAGUAUCUGCACUGUUUCAGACUUGUUUCAAUUCUUUUGCAGCCAUGUUCUUUAGUUCUUUUUGCAAGCCCAUUGCAACAACAUCCUUCUCUUGAAAUUCGAGCCUCCAAUUACCUACAAUUAUGCAUAACAUUUAAGCACACAAUUAUUCGAAUUGAAACAAACUUUAUUAAAAUUAAACUAAAAUGGAUGUUGAUGUAAACUAUUAUUAAAAUACAACAAAACACAUCAUUUACUCUCUAAGUAAUUUGGUUUAAUCUUAAAAGUGCAAUCAUAACUCUCAUUUCAUAGAGUUAUUAGUGUACUUGCACAUUGACACCCAUAACAAUAGAAAUCACACACCAACAAGCUAGUCACCUUGGUAGAGGACAUUUAUUAUGGUAUGAAAAAACCAUAAACAUAAUCAUCAAGAAUGAACAAUUAUUUUUAUAUGGAAAUAUACUUGAGUAUAAAUUAGAUGAAAGAGUCUCAAGCAAUAAAGAAUAUCUUAAGAACAUGUAGAAGAUUCUAUGUAUUAGCUUGAUCAUAUUAGGUUAUUUUAUUUGUUUGUUGACUGGUUUUGUUUUAAUAUUGGUUUUAUUUUAUUGAUUGAACAAAAUCUUGUUAUAUUAUUAGUAAUCAAUUUUUACGUUAGUUGUUGGUCAACUCAAUAGGUUUUUUUAUGAUAUCUCAUGAAUCAUUUUGUUAGUGGGAGUUUAAAUUGAAUUUAAUUAAUUCAAAAUUAGAACUAAUAAUUUUGCGCAUUAAGAUCAAAUCAAUGAUGAAUAUAAUAAAGGGAAUUUGAUUAUGAUUGGAAGCUUCGACGACCUUUUGAUUCCCGAUAUUAAUUCAUCCUUUUUUUGUUUAUGUUUACAGUAAACUUAAUUAUUUGUGUGUAAUUAUUGAUUAUGUCUUUAUUGAUUGUAUUUUGAAUUGUCUCUGUGUUAAAAGAAAGUUGAAAUGUCAUCUACAUCUAAGAACAUUGUGGCCGAGCUAAAGAAGAGUGAGAAGCUGAAUGGCGAUAAUUAUAAUAUUUGACACCAUAAAAUUCAGUAUAUCCUUAUAGAGCAAGAGAUUCUAGAAGCUUUAAACAACACCCUAGCUGAGCCUAGUAUGGCAAUACUGCUCAAUAUAGAAGGGAUCUCGAGGCCUACCAGGUUUGGAAAAGGAAUAAUAGCAAUGCUCGCAUAACGAUAUUGAGCAGUAUGUAAGAUGACCUCAUGUGUGAGUUUGAGAAGUAUGAGAUUGCUCAAAAGAUAUGGCUCGCUCUAAAAGACAAGUUCGGUCGCACUUCGAACACUUAGCUGAGAAGGCUUACAAUCAAGUUUGAUUCGUAUCAAAAGUGCCAGAAUCAUACUAUGAGCAGCAUCUGAGGGAGAUGUAGCACAUGAUUCACGCACUUAAAGUUGUUGGAUAUAUUCUGAUUGAUGAACAAUAAGUCCAGGCAGUGAUAAGAUCUUUACCUAAUUCUUGGGAACACAUGAAGGUGAAUAUGACUAAUAAUGAGAAUAUCAAAAUAUUCAAUGAUAUUGAGCAUCACCUUGAGCUAGAAGCAGAGCACCUUGAGGGGGCAAAACUUUCUGAUUAUAUUUAUAUGGCCGAAUUAAGAUCGCGUAAGGCUUCGAGCUUCAAGCGUAAGAGAGGCUAUAAGUAUAACCAGAUGGGUAAAAGAUAUAAUCUUGAUCAAAAUAAGCCAAAUGCUAAGAAGUACCCAAGAGAUAAGCGUGCUGGCAAGAAAAAGGAUAAAUCUAAUAUGAAAUGCUACAAUUGUAGCUGGCUGGGUCACAUCGCUCGUGAAUGCACUGACUCACAAAAGCUGAGACCCAACUCCACUUUAUUGAAUGAUGUUUUGGUUACAAGCUCUGUACUCCUAAUUGAUUCUCUUCUUAUGUGGAUUGUAGACUUAAGAGCAACAGAUCAUAUAGCUCAUGAUCGAGAUGCAUUUGUAGAGUAUUAUUGAAUUACUCAUAAGGAUUAUAUGGAUAUACGUGGGCAACAACUCUAGAGUUAAAGCAAAAAGAAUAUGCACCUGCAAAUUGACUUUGCAUGGUAAUCGUAUUCCUUUAUUACACGAUGUCUUAUAUGCACCAAAGAUUUUACAAAACUUGGUUUUUGUUCCUAUUCUUCUUGAGUUAGGAUAUAAUUUAAACUUUUAUGUUGUUUGUUUGGAGAUUUUCUUAAAUUCAAUCCCUAUUGGAAAUGGGCAUUUGAUUAAUGUUUUUAUUGUAUUAGAUACAAUGCUUGAUGGUUUAAGUUAUGAUAAUAAUUAUUUUUCGUAUGUUACUUCUUCCACUAACAAUGAGAUAGAUGUAAUUAUCUGGCAUGCUAGAUUAGGUCACAUAAAACAAGAAAGAAUACAUAAACUUGCGAGAGAGAGCUUGUUGGGCCCACUCACCAAGUUUAAAUUGCCUAUAUGUGAAAAUUGUCUAGUUGGAAAAGCAGCCAGAAAACCAUUUGGCAAAGGAAUUAGAACUGAAAGACUAUUGCAAUUAAUCCACUCUGACUUCUGUGGACCAAUAAAUAUAAGGGCUAAAUAUGGAGCUUUAUAUUUUAUCACAUUCAUUGAUGAUUAUUCACAUUUCGGUCAUGUCUACUUGAUCUCUCAUAAAUAAGAAGCAUUAGAUUGCUUUAGAUUAUAUCUAAACAUGGUAGAGAAAUAAUUAGAUAGUAAUGUUAAUGUUCUGAGGACUGACAGAGGACAUGAAUACCUUUCGAAACAAUUCAAGAAACUGUGUAAUGAGAAAGCAAUAGAUGGACAUCUAACUAUUCUUGGAACUUCGCAACAAAAUAGUGUAGCAGAAAGAAAGAAUAAAACCUUAUUGGAAAUGGUUAGGUCAAUGAUGGUGUAAUCAAAUUUUCUAAUAUCCUAUUGGGGAGAUGCUUUGUUAACUGCUGCCUAUUUACUCAACCGAGUUCAUUUGAAAUCAACUAGUUCCACUAUAUGAGUUAUGGACGGGUAGGAAACCUGACCUAUCUCAUCUACAGCCUUGAGGGUCUGUGACUUAUGUUUAUAACUCCACCCAUAAGUUUGAGAAAUUAGGAACUAGGAGUAAAAUGUGUAUCUUUAUUAGAUUCUCAUAACAUUCCAAAGGAUAUAUGUCCAUUGGUGAACAUACAAAUGGAACUGUGACUGAAUUGGAAUCAUGAAAUGUCAAUUUUCUAGAAAAUAAAUUUCAUAGCAUCGGAGAAUUGAUAAGGAUUUUCAAUUUUAUGAAUUAGAAGAUCCAAAUGAGGUUAUCACUUCUAAUGUCAGUGUUGGCACUAGUACGGAUCCUUCCGGGAUUGCUACUUUGAGUGGGAGUGAAACACCGGACACUUCAAUUCUAUUUUAGGAAUCAACUCGAAUGAGUAAUUGUAGGCCAAUUCCUCGUCCUCGUUUUAAGAUUGAAGAAGAAGCUUUUAUGAUUACUUCACACGAUAGUAAAGAGGCAAAUACUUUUAACGAGACCCUUAAAUCGUCUGUUAGGGAUUUAUGAAUGAAAGCAAUGAAGGAGAAGAUGGAGUCAAUGAAAGUCAAUCAAGUCUGGGACUUAGUUGAUAUUCCACCUAUCCAUAAAGUUAUCAGAAUCAAAUGGAUUCUCCGAAUAAAACGUAAGGUGUAUGGAAUAAUCGAGAGAUAUAAAGUAAGAUUAAUCGCUAAAGGCUAUACAAAAAAAAAAAGCAUAGAUUAUGAAGAGACUUUUUCUCUUGUAGAAAGGUUUGCUUCCAUACGAUUGAUCUUGGUUGUUGUUGCACAUCUAAACCUUGAAUUAUAUCAGAUAGAUAUAAAAACUGCAUUUCUAAAUAGAGAACUGGAGGACGAAAUUUAUAUGCAACAAUUGUAAGGUUUUGUUGUUAAAGGCCAAGAUCGCAAGAUAUGCAAGCUUAAAAGAUCUAUUUAUGACCUUAAGCAAUCCUUUAGACAAUGGAAGCUUAAAUUCCAUUAAACUAUAGUUUCUUACGGCUUCAGGAUGGUUGAGGAAGACCAUUGUGUGUGUAUUAAGAGGUCUAAAGAUGUUUUUGCAAUAUUAACUUUGUAUGUGGAUGAUAUAUUGUUGGCUGGGAACAGUAAAAAGUUUGUCAAAAUUAUUUAAGAUUGACUAUAUUCAAAUUUUGACAUGAAAGAUGUAGGUGAAGCAACUUAUAUCUUAGGAGUUAAAAAUUUUAGGGAUUAUUCAAAGAAACUUCAAACUUAUUAUAAAAGUCUUACAUUAAGAAAAUCCUUGAAAGGUUCAACAUGGCUUAUUGUAAGCAAAAUGAUACCCUAAUAGCCAAAGGACAAUCUCUUAGUCUAGAUAUGUGCCUUAAAACUUCUCAAGAAAAGGAAAGAAUGACUGAAGUUUCUUAUACAAAUGCCAUUGAAAGUCUCAUGUAUGUUAUGAUGUGUAUAAGGACCGAUAUCAGUUAUGCUAUAGGUCUGGUGAGUAAAUACCAGUCUAAUCCAAGUUAGAAGCAUUAGAGUGCUGUCAAGAGGAUUUUGGCAUAUCUCAAAAGUACUGCAAAUUAUUCUUUAUGCUAUUAAGGAGGUAGUUUACGACUUAUUGGAUAUUCAGAUGUCGAUUGAGGUGGUGAUCUGGAUGAGUGUAAAUCGACCUCGGGACAUGUGUUCUUGCAAAACAAAGAAGCAAUUACAUGGAGCAGCAAGAAGCAAAAAUGCACAACUUUAUAGACGAUGGAAGCUGAAUUUAUUUUGUGUUCUGCAGUAGUGCAAGAAGCUGUGUGGCUUAAGAGAUUUAUGGAGGACUUAGAGAUUAAUAUAAGUAAUAUCAGUCUAGUAAUUGUCUACUAUGACAGUUAAGCUGCUAUCUCUUUCUCUAAGGACGCCAAAUACUAUAGCAGUCAAAAUACAUUGAGAGUAAAUACAAUUUCAUAAGAGACAUUUUGGCAAAAAAAGGAAGUAGUUAUACAAUAUAUAUCUAUGCAUAGCAUGAUAGCUGACCCACUUACCAAAGCUGUAAUGAGGGACGUAUUCGCCUCUCAUGCUAAACCAUUGGGGCUAUGUAGAUUGUAAUUUUACAUUGUUAAGAUAUAUUUAUUUGUUGUGAACAUCUUUGUUACAUAAAUUAUUUUGAAAUGUUUGUGAACAUCUUUGUUACAUAAAUUAUUUUAAAAUGUAAUAAUGUUCAAAGUUCCCUUGUUUCAAUUUAUUUUGUGAAAGGCAUAAUUACACACAUAUGAGAGUAUGUCAUCAGGUCAUGACCAGCUUUCUUACAUAAGCAGUCGCCUUAGUUUUUCUGGGAGCAAGUUAAGAUGAGACAAAUAGAAUAAUGAAACAAUGUGGUUGUUUGAGAGCUAAAUAAAAAGAGUUAUUUUACAAGUUUUGUUGCCUUGAUUAGAAUCAAGAUGAAGUCUUAAAUGAUAUUUCUCAUAGACUGACUAUAAUGUACCCCACCAUUAUAGAGACCUAAUAUAAACCAGAUAUGAGAUCUUAUUUUUAGUGCUAAAUGAGAGCGUUCAUUUUAAGAACUUAGGUCAGACGUUGUAGAAGAGUGAUUGGACUAAGAUUUGUACAGUGAAUUAAAUUAAUGAGACAUACGCCCUAAAUGGAAGAUUCACUGUAAUUCAUGUACAUAUCAUGCGUGCUUGGUGACCAAAAUGGAAAAUGAAAGAAUUUCUCUUCUCCCUCAUUGUGUAAGUUCCAUAUGACUUUUUAUAAGUAAACUCUGGUAUCCUUAUUAUUAUCAAGUAUGUUUUUGAGAUCUUAGAUUGGUGUCUGCUACUUUAGCAUGUUAUCUAUAACCUUGACAGGAUUCGGUCUAUGAACAUGACUAAGAAAGUGAUUAUUCUGGAUUGAUGAACAUGAGUGUGAUAAGAAUAUUUAAUUUUUUCCUUUUAUGUGAUUCAGUGGUUGACUAAUUGUAUAAUACAUAUGGUAUAUUACAAUUGUGAAUACAUAAAGAGAUUGCUCAAUUUUGGCAUACCAAAGAGAUUUAGUAUGCUUGAAUAUUAAAAUGAAUUAAAUAUGAGAUACAUGAACAUAUAUUGAAAUUCUCUUGCAUACUGGUGUGCGAUUUCUAUUAAUAUGGGUGUCAAUGUGCAAGUGUACACAACAAGUAAUAUAUUGAUAAAUAUUCAGAUCGUCUCUACAAGGAUUGAUGUUAUUAGAUUUGCUACAGUAAUCUUAAUAGUGCAGUUUCAUCCUAAAUUAAAAUAAGACAAUUUAUGAAACUAAUGAACUAAUUAGACAAAAAACACAAUAAAUAAAAUGCAAUUAAGAAAAUUCUCACGUUAAACACAAGGAUGUAACCAAUGGGAAUAGAAUAAUUGAAUGAAUAAAAUCACUAAAUGACUUUGACUAUUUUUCAAUUACAGUAUUGUUGCUACAACAUCUGCUACAUCACUGGGCAGAAUCCCUCAUGCAUCCUUAGUUGUCGCUUGUUGGAUAUUUUAUACCUAAUGCAACCUAAUAGUGACCAAUUGUUACGCCAACGUUAAAUAUAACAUUAAAUAUCCUAUGUUUCAUUUACCCUACAAGGUGAAUCCCUAUAUCUAGUUUAUCGCUAAUUUUAGAUCAAGAAUGACCCUAUUUAAAUUGAGAUUUACUCAAUUUGGAAAACCCAAUCUAAAACCAAGUAUUUUCUUAAUUUGCUCUACUAAGUCAGACCUUUAUGAGAAUCUUUUUUAGGUAAUAUCCUCUAAAUGGGUGGUCAGCCGAAAUAAGGAAUUGAAAUAAAAAUAAUUAAGACAAAAUGCUAUAACAAACAUAGAGCAACACACACAUAUAAAUCAAACAUCCAUUAAGAUCGUUUAUUACUCANNNNNNNNNNNNNNNNNNNNNNNNNNNNNNNNNNNNNNNNNNNNNNNNNNNNNNNNNNNNNNNNNNNNNNNNNNNNNNNNNNNNNNNNNNNNNNNNNNNNNNNNNNNNNNNNNNNNNNNNNNNNNNNNNNNNNNNNNNNNNNNNNNNNNNNNNNNNNNNNNNNNNNNNNNNNNNNNNNNNNNNNNNNNNNNNNNNNNNNNNNNNNNNNNNNNNNNNNNNNNNNNNNNNNNNNNNNNNNNNNNNNNNNNNNNNNNNNNNNNNNNNNNNNNNNNNNNNNNNNNNNNNNNNNNNNNNNNNNNNNNNNNNNNNNNNNNNNNNNNNNNNNNNNNNNNNNNNNNNNNNNNNNNNNNNNNNNNNNNNNNNNNNNNNNNNNNNNNNNNNNNNNNNNNNNNNNNNNNNNNNNNNNNNNNNNNNNNNNNNNNNNNNNNNNNNNNNNNNNNNNNNNNNNNNNNNNNNNNNNNNNNNNNNNNNNNNNNNNNNNNNNNNNNNNNNNNNNNNNNNNNNNNNNNNNNNNNNNNNNNNNNNNNNNNNNNNNNNNNNNNNNNNNNNNNNNNNNNNNNNNNNNNNNNNNNNNNNNNNNNNNNNNNNNNNNNNNNNNNNNNNNNNNNNNNNNNNNNNNNNNNNNNNNNNNNNNNNNNNNNNNNNNNNNNNNNNNNNNNNNNNNNNNNNNNNNNNNNNNNNNNNNNNNNNNNNNNNNNNNNNNNNNNNNNNNNNNNNNNNNNNNNNNNNNNNNNNNNNNNNNNNNNNNNNNNNNNNNNNNNNNNNNNNNNNNNNNNNNNNNNNNNNNNNNNNNNNNNNNNNNNNNNNNNNNNNNNNNNNNNNNNNNNNNNNNNNNNNNNNNNNNNNNNNNNNNNNNNNNNNNNNNNNNNNNNNNNNNNNNNNNNNNNNNNNNNNNNNNNNNNNNNNNNNNNNNNNNNNNNNNNNNNNNNNNNNNNNNNNNNNNNNNNNNNNNNNNNNNNNNNNNNNNNNNNNNNNNNNNNNNNNNNNNNNNNNNNNNNNNNNNNNNNNNNNNNNNNNNNNNNNNNNNNNNNNNNNNNNNNNNNNNNNNNNNNNNNNNNNNNNNNNNNNNNNNNNNNNNNNNNNNNNNNNNNNNNNNNNNNNNNNNNNNNNNNNNNNNNNNNNNNNNNNNNNNNNNNNNNNNNNNNNNNNNNNNNNNNNNNNNNNNNNNNNNNNNNNNNNNNNNNNNNNNNNNNNNNNNNNNNNNNNNNNNNNNNNNNNNNNNNNNNNNNNNNNNNNNNNNNNNNNNNNNNNNNNNNNNNNNNNNNNNNNNNNNNNNNNNNNNNNNNNNNNNNNNNNNNNNNNNNNNNNNNNNNNNNNNNNNNNNNNNNNNNNNNNNNNNNNNNNNNNNNNNNNNNNNNNNNNNNNNNNNNNNNNNNNNNNNNNNNNNNNNNNNNNNNNNNNNNNNNNNNNNNNNNNNNNNNNNNNNNNNNNNNNNNNNNNNNNNNNNNNNNNNNNNNNNNNNNNNNNNNNNNNNNNNNNNNNNNNNNNNNNNNNNNNNNNNNNNNNNNNNNNNNNNNNNNNNNNNNNNNNNAUAUGUCAUUACUUUAGGAUUGUUACAGCAAUGGCUACAGCAUCUGUUAUGUUCCAGACUUGUUUAAAUUCCUUUGUAACCAAGUUCUUUCAUUGUCUCUACAAGUUUGGUGCAGCAGAAUUCCUUCAUUAUAACUCGAGCUUUCAGUCACCUAUAAUUAUGCAUAUAAUCUAAGCAAAAAUUAUUCUAAAACAACUCAAUUUAUUUAAAAAUAAACUAAAAUAGAUGCUCAUGCAAAUUUUAACUAAAAUGUAAUAAAAGCACAUAAUUCACUCUCUAAGUAUUACUAAUUUAAGUCUAAAAGUGCCAUGAUAACUCUCAUUUCAUAGAUUUAUCACAUACAAUUGCAAUUGAGACAUCUCUUGCCUAGGUUAGCAAUUAAGAUAUGUUUUUGGCUCCUCAGAUGAUUCUUAGGAUAUGUUUGUGGUCACAUGGUGUAUCUGCCUGCAUGCUUGAAGAUAUGUGGUUGUUCAUUGCUUCUUUGUUCACUACUCUGCUGCUUCGGCGGUGUCCCAUCAUGUGGGAGUGGGAGUGGGAGAUGUUGGAUGGGUGGGUCACCUAUGAUGGGUCGACUCGACCCACCCUUACUUGGUAAUUACUUUGCAGCUACCAUGUGCGUAUUUGAAAGUUAAGAAGGAAGUUGAUAUAAUGUCAACCACUCACUUUGGCAAAAACUCCUCGAGAAAAAUAAUAACGUAGAGAGAGCGUGUGCGUGGAGAAUGAAUGUUCACCUUCUUCUCUUCUUCAUCAAGAUCAAAUAAGAAUAUUGAACAACUUAUUAGAAAAAGGACAUCUAUAUUGUGAUCAGAGAAGGAUUUCUACUUGUGAUUUCUUUCCGACCACCAAUAUGAUCCAACAUUUAAUUAUUCCACUACUUAGAAAAAGGUAUGGCUUCUUGAAUUCCUCUUAUUUUUCCUUCACAUAGUCACUUGAACAUGGCUUAGUUACCUGCGCUUCUGCUCCUACUGGCAUACUUAAAAGUAAAAUACCUGCAAAUAAAUAAAUAAAACUGCCAUAAGCUAAUUUUAUGAAAAAAAUCAAAUGAGAGUAAGUGUCCGUUCGAUAAUAAGGUGUUCUAGUUGUUGUGGAACUGGAACCAAAGGUACAGCCUGUUUGAAAAUACUAUCAGCUAUAGAGUCAAAGUUAAUGGAUUGAUGUUUGGUUAAAAAAAUAAUCGUAAAAUUGAAGAAACAUAUAAAAUGAACUUGAGCAUGAUGAAGGAUGCAACGUUAAGAAAAGCUUUAGAAAUUUUUAUUUUUGUUGUGUGAAUUUCAAAAGAAUCAAAAGAUUUACUUGUUUUCCUUCUAACCUCUGCUUAAAAUUUAUGCGAAUUUGAAGUAAAAGGAAUUUAUUGGGCUGGUAAAAACUACCUCAUCAAAUUUUGAGAUUUUAGCUAAGAAAAGGGCAUGAAAAUCUUUCAAUGUAAUCCAAUAAGGCCAUGAAAGAUACAAGGUUAAUUUGUUUUUCACUUAAAUACUAAUGUAAAAUAGAUUCUCUUUCAAAAAAUAAAACAGAUUAAAACAUAUCCAUGUGUGAUGAUGAUGAUACUUGCAUUAAAUUCAUUUCUUUUAAAUUUUGCUAUAGGCCAGAGAAGAAAUAUGUUUAGUUUGUUUUUCUUAAGUACAAAAGUAAAACAUAUACUUUUUCCAAAGCAAAAUAGUAGUAGUAAUAUAUAUUCAUCUCACCAUCUAUGCUUUAACAUAUUUUACUCGUCAUAAAUUCUUUUAUGUUAAAUUUUAAUAAAUUAUUUAUUUAAAAAAAUUAUAAGGGUCGAUCUUCCAAAUAGAUUUCCAUCUGAGUCCAAAUCUGAACUCUUAAGUGAGAUCCAAACUUACACUAGACAUUUUUCCCGAGUGGACCUAUUGCCACCCCUUUAACUCCUCGUAAAACCUGUUUUGUAUAUUUUCAGAUUUAGUCUUAGCCAAAAUUAUAACCCUUUAAGUUAAAAAAGAGUUAUUAAAAAAAGUUCAAGACAAAAAACAAAAAUUUAGACAAUUAUUCUGUUUUUGGAUGUGAAAAUACAAAUUUUUUAAAAUGAAAUAUCAUAAUUUCUAAAAACAAAAGAUUUUGGACUAAAGUAGAUUUUGUAACAAAACUUGACCUUAAGUAAAAUCUAGAUUUUAAUUUAUUAUGCGGCCACUCAAGCUAUAAUCUAAGUGAUUUAAUUCUAGUAGAUUUUUUAUUAUAUAUAUCAGUGGACUUUUCAUCAUUAAAAAAAAUUAUGAAGUGAAUAAGUGAUUAUUGCAUACAUAUAUUACCUUUUUGUGCUUUCAAAGACUUUUUCCAAUGUCGUGAUCUCAUUUAUGGGGCAAGAUCACUUUAGUAAAUUUAGUUCAAGAUUCUAUGGUCUCGAAAUCUAAUUAACUGAGGAGUGAUGAUAUUUGAUCCCUUUUAUUCUUUCACUAACCCCCCAUUUCUUAAUUAAUUUAUUUAUUUUUAGAAUUAUCCUUUUUUAUUAUUUUGUUAAUUUCUCUAUCCUUUUCAAUUACUAGUACCAUUGAGAUAUUGAAUAACUUUAUCAAAUUUUAAAUUUUUUGUAGUCGUCAUUCACCAUCAUGAAACUUCUACAAAAGAAAUUUUGUCUAAUGGUUACCAAACCAUGGACAUUUAUGUCCAAUCCAAUGGAACAAGUGAAGAAACAUUGUCAACGAAUGUCUCAUUUUUUUAAUCUUUGUUUGUUUUGUGCAUUUAAUUAAUGAUGUACUAGUUCUUGUGGUUUGCCCAUGUGUCUUAGAAGAUUCAGAGCAAAGUUGAAGCUUGAUUAUGUAUUGUGUAAUGUAACACUAGAAUUUUAUUUACUACUGACAAUAUUGAUUAGGAAUGACAAAAAGACUUGACCUUAAUUUUGGCCCAAUUGACCUGACCUAAAUUUUUUUAGGUUUGACAUGAAUUUAAGGGUUUUAGGUCGAGCUCAAGUUUAAAUAUCAAGGUCUAAUUAAAUUUGGGUCAAGGUUUAGGUCCUAUUUGCCCUGACCCGACCAACCUAACCUAAAAUUCAAAAAUUAAAAAAAUUAUUUAUAUAAUUUUAUAAGAUAUGAUUUGAGAUUAUAUUUAUUUUAUAAUUUAUAUAAUUACAUGGUUGAGACCUUGAAUAACUUUUAUGUUUAUGUUAAAUUUUAAUGUAUAUAGGAGGUUAAGUCCAUUUUUUUAAAAUUUAAAUUACUGAGAUAAAAAAAUCUUAUAAAAAAUUAUGGACUUGGGGCCAUUUUAUUUCAAACAAGAAGGGAGAUCCUUAAUUUAAAAUUGUAAAUUGUUGGUGAAUACAAAUCACUCGUUAACUGAAAGCAAGUAAUUUUUUAUACUAACUCCUUGUAAAUAUGGAAAAAUCACCCAUUAAUAUUGACUUCCUUACAACUUUAAAUAAUAAUAAUAAUAAUAAUAAUAAUAAUAAUAAUAAUAAUAAUAAUAAUAAUAAUAAUUAUUAUUAUUAUUAUUAUUAUUAUUAUUAUUUUAGAAUCUCAAUCAAUAAAAAAAAGGAGGGAUUCAGUUCGAAAAAUUGAUUUUUCUACUAUCGACAGGGAUGUAGGUAGAACCUCCCACGGUGUAAAUUUUUGUCUCAUUUUAUUGAAGGAGGGUGAUUUUAAAAAUAAAUACAGAAGUCACAACUCUUACUAAAGCUCAUUUAUGCAUUUUACAGUCGACCUCACAAAUAAAUAGUCUCCAAAAGUGGAUUCCUCAACUUCACUUGUAUGCCAACUAGGGAUGGCAAUUGGUCAAGCCCUAGCCCGACUUGAUAAAAAAAAAUAAAAAGUUCAACCUAAAAAAGAGUCCGAUCAUUGAAUUCUAGGUUGGGUUGGGCUUUUGUCCAUGCUAAAUUUCAUAAUUUUUUUAAAGAUUUUAUUUUUACAUUUAAGUAAUUAAAUUUUAAAAAAAUGGACAUUACCUCCCAUAUUUAAUAAAAUUUAGCAUAAAUAUAAAAAUUACUCAAAGUCUCAACCAUAUAAUUAUAUAAAUAAUAAAAUAAACAUAAUCUAAAAUUAUACAAAUAAUUUUUUUUUUUAAUUUUUGAAUUCGGGUCAAGUCGGCCAGGCCAAGUAGGGCCUGAAUCUUGACCCGAAUUUAAUUGGACCCUACUUUUUAGGCCCAAGCCCGACCCUUAAAUUCGGGUCAAAUCUUGAAAGAUUUUGAUUAGGUCAAUUAGGCUAAAAUUAGGAUCGGCUCUUUUUGUCAUUCCUACAUAUGGUUCCUUUGAAUCCAAUGGGUUAUGAACUUUCUAGACCCAGUGAUGAUUUUUUUUUUGUCUAAUAGAGGUCGAAUUUGUGUUUUAUCACGCAAUUAAAGUUUACAAACACUCCAUUUAAAAUUAUGCUCACCUCAAAAUUAAUUACCAAAGAAGUAAAACCUAAAUAAAUAUUUCGAUUUAGUAGCGAAGCUAAUUAUUUUCAUCCGGGCUAAGCCCGGAUAACGUUAAAAGAUAUCAUGUGUAUGUUUAUUUAUCAUAUCGUUUUAUUGUCAUAUAUAAGAGAGAUGGCUACACAUAUGCCACAUAACUGUCACAAUAAAAAUGAUGACAAGAAAUAAAAUUUAAAUGUUAAAUAUAAAAAUAAAAAAUCAAUUUAUAAUUUUCAUGGGCAAUGAUAGCCAACUACCCCUUUAAUUGUUAUAAUAAUAUUUUGGCAAUUAUAACUAUAAAUUUAGAAAUACUAGUUGUAGUUCCUUUUGCUAUCUCACGACCGUCGGAUAUAAUGUAAAGAGCCGACAACUCCUUGAUACAACUAACAGCAUGGACCACAACUAUAAACAGUAUUUAAACUUACAGGAAAGACAUUAUCAUUCUUCUGAAUUAAAGGGUAUCUAUAUUGAACCAUAAUAUAACUCUCUUUAUUAGUUAUCAAAAUUUUAAAGAAUGAAUGAAUAAUUAUUUACAUUUAUUUUCAAAUUGUAACACAAAAAUUAAGUGAAAUGAAACAAUACAGAAACCAACAAAAAUGCUAUCUAUUCCCUUUAGUCUUUGCAUCAUUAAUUGUGAAAUCAUCCUUGAAUUUGAGAGCAGCAUUUCUAAGCCAAGCCCCCCCACCAGUCAAGUCCUUGGACAAGAACAUAGAUGCUUCAGCAUCUGAUAAGCUGUUUGACCAAGCAACCCUUUUUGAUCCAUCAGCUCCCGGACCCGAACACCUAUAUUCACCGUAGUACAACUUACUGCACAAUCAAUACAUCAAAAACAAGGAAACAAGUUAGACACCUGGCCUGUGUGUGAUUAAUUUCAAUUUGGUAAACAUACUAUUAAAGCAGAUUAAUUGAAUAGAUGAUUUACUUGUGCUUGGCAUGGUCGUUCAAAUCAUUCCAUCCUUGGGGCACUAUCUCAUCGGACAUGUAAGUCAGAGCAUACACAACCCUAGAAUAAGGACCCCAUGGCCUUCCAAGCACUGCCUUACCAACACCUGAAAUCUUGCAAUCCAAGAAAGUGAAUCCAGUGUUUUCCUCUGAUGACACUCUUUUCUGAGCAGUUAUAGCUCCGCCCCACGUGGAAAGAGAAUGUAGAAGGCAUCUCUGCAAAUUAAGGUCAUGAGUCAAUGUUGUGAAACAAAAUUAAUUAAUUGUUUAUCUUGGAAAUUAAGGUAGCCUAAUGAGAAUUAGUACUCACUUCAAAGAAGGAGUUAGCAUUUCCGCUGAUGAAAUCUGUGGCUCCUUCAAUGUAGCAUUUGCUAUAAUAAUGAUUUCCAGUGUCAUCUAGGAGAGUAUGGUUGUAAGACAGAAUCCUGCAGCCGUAAAAUGCAGCUCUAUCUGCAGACACUCUUAGCGCAACCGCUUUGCCGUAUGAUCCAUACGUGUUCUGUAACAUAUUAACUUAUCAAGGUAUAAGUUAUAUACGUAAAUGGUAGCUAGCAAUCAAGGACUUCAUCAUAUACGAAUAUUGCAAAGCAAAUACGUACCUGAAUCGUUAGGGAUCUUGCAAUAAAAUGAGAAGCCAACACAGUGAGAGUUGCCGAAUCAAGGAUGGAGCCACCAUCACUCCAUGUUAUUUUGGUGUGAGAAGCCCUUGUGCCACUAAUUGUUAUGAAGGGCUUAUUAGCAGGCACAAUAAUCUUUUCUCUGCAUAUAUAUGAUCAAGCACAUGUAAACAUAUAGAGGAAAUUGUUUAAUGAGUUCCAGCAAUUCAAACCAACAAAAUUCAAUUGACAAUAUAUAAAAGGAGAGACGUAACAAUUAAUUACUGACCUGUAAAUUCCUGGGGCAACCGAAAUGAAAACCAACUCCGCGUUAUUAGCUGGUACAGAAUCAAUGGCUUCUUGUAUGGUCCUAAAAUCUCCUCUGCCGUAUUUUUCAACUCUAAUGAGAACAGCAGUGGAAAAAUCUUUGGGAAUUGUAGCAGUAGAGCUGCAGGUAGCCAUGAUUGAAGCAAAAACAAUUGUUGUUGCAACAAACAGAAUGCUAACAUUUUGACUAUAAUUCUUCAUUGUAACAGAACCCAUGUAUGUUAAUGAUCAACUUUUUCUACACCUUUCAAUAUGUGGCUUCCCCUGCCCCCCGAUGAAAUUAGAUAUAAACCUUUACUUACCCUACUUAAUUAGAAACUAACAAAUAAAGAUAGGUCUAUUUAGAGAUUGUUAAUGUCAUUUGACUUGUAAUGUUAACAUCACUUGAGACUUGACUAUUUUUAAUUCUAAACCGCAGCUGUCAAUCUAAAGUUAACAUAAACAAAUAGAUAAUGACAUAAUUUAGAUACCCUUUUAAUUUAGGAGAAUGAUAGUUCUUUGCUGAAAGUUUGAAUACCUUUUCUAGUUAUAGUCCAUUUACUGUUAUUAGUUUUAGGGAGUUGACAGCUUUUGACUUGGAAAAUAUUAAUAAUAAAACCUUAUAUCCAGCGGUUGUGAGCCGGCAAUAUUAUAGAAACCAAACUAUUACUAUCACGUAUUUGGCUAUCAUUUGCCCAUGAAAUUACACAUUAGCCUUUUUAUUUUUGUUGUACUUAAAAAUUUUAUUUAUUUUUCCUUAAUUAGUAUCAUUUUUAAUUGCCACAAUGAAGUUAACUUUCUUAUGACUCGGGCUUGAAGCUUUUUUCAAGUGACACGGAAUCUUUGCUGAUAUCUUUUGCCUUAAAACUGAAAAAUUUCUUUCGACAUUUAUUUGGCUCCUUACCAUUGGUUCAUCAUCGGCCCCCGUAAAACAGAAGCAACAAGGUUUGUCAAUUACAUGGAGUCUGAUUUGGUUUGCUUAGUUUCUAUUCCAAAUUAAGAAUGUAUAGUCGUUUCUUACUCUUUAUCCUAAUCAAACUACCGAGUAUACGACUUUCAUUCAUAAGAAAUGACCAAGCAAAAGUAGAAAUGCUGUAAAUGGUUAAUUAUUUCAAGAAUAACUAACAAACACGACAUGGCUUGAUAGAAAAUUUUCUGAGUUUUUCUUUUGCAACUAAUCUCAUAGCUGAUGGGUGAUGACUGAACUUGAAUAAGUAAUCAUGUAGCACGUAAACUAAGAUUUCACACACGUUAUGCAAUCUUGUAUUUCAAGCAAAAUCAGCUAGUGUUGCUUCUGCUUACAAUGUCCUUAAUUCUCUAAUGUACUUUAAUGUUUACGUUAAGAUGACCAUCUUUUACUUCAACUGCAAGAAAUCGGCUACAAGCCAUCAAUUUUGUUGACUUUCAUCCAGGCAUGCCAUAUAUAAUAAGGUCUAAAAACCUAAUUGCCUCAGUAAAUUUUGCGCAAUUUUGCUUCAAUCUUCACUGAAGCAUAUAUUUGAGCACAUGCACACGGGUUCGGCUACAAUUAAGUAUGUUAACAUUAUGUUUCUGGCUACAAUUGUUUUUGCUUCACUCAUGGCUACCAGGACUGCUGCUACUAGGUCCAUAGAUUUGUCUAUUGCCAUAAAUUAAAUCAACUUAACUUUCAAGUUAUAGUACUUAAUGUUUAUUAAAUAUUUUAGUGCUAUACCUUUUAAUUUACAGCUGCCAAAUAUCAACCUUAAACAGGGUUUAAGUGUUCUGGUCUGGGAGCUGAUAGAUCAAGAUGGGUUGCUCGGUCAAACAACUUAUCAGACAUAUGCUGAAGCAGCGCUAGUUUCAUGCCUGAUAUUACUGGCGGGGAAGCUCGUUAGACUUGCACCUACGGAAUUCAAGCAAGGCUUUACAAUCAAUAAUGCAAAAUCUGAAGGGAAUAGAUGGGAUUUUUGUUGGUAUGUGAGCUAUUAUUUCAUUUAAUUUUUAUUAUGCAUUACAUCUUAAAGAAUAGAUAUAAUAAGUCAUUCAGUCUUAAAUUAAUAAAGUUAGACAACAGAUGGCUUAACUCUGAUCACCUCCAAAACUUCCAUAAUUCGUAAUGAAAGUUCCCACCGAAAAAAAAAAAGGGAAAAAAAAAGGAAGGAUGUUGUCCAAGAGUUUGGCCGAAUAACUUUUAAUGUUAUUCGGCCGUCGUACGUUGGGCAUUAAUUUGGGCCUUUUUUUUUCUCCUCUUUUUUUCGGGAUAAAAAGGUUAUCCACACAUAUCUCGAAAGAUAUUACUUCAAUGGGGUGUGUACAAUCCUUCUGAUUUUUCAGUUUACAUUGCAAUGGAGUCAUCGUGUUUCUUCUAUGCUCAUUGCUUCGUAACUAAUCCAAUUAACUUUCAUUCUUUUGAAAAUUUUAUGUUGAAAUUGAUAAUUGGCUUUGUUGCUCAUGAGAUAUUACAUUGUUUUGUAUUGAGUAGCAAGUGCGAGGAACAUUUUUGCUAAGUUACUUUAUUAUGCAUUGAAUUUAUAAUUUAUAACUGUUAAUUAAAUUCAUAAUUUAUUCUGGCAUUGUAGAGGUCAAUUAAAUUAGUAUAAAAUUAAAUUCAGAAAUUAGAUCUAUUGCAAAUAGAUGUAGACAGUUAAAACCUUAGAAUUAACAACUGAAUUAAUUUUGGAAAAUAUUGUUCACUGUUACUGUUCAUCCGCAUAAAAAAAAUUAAUUUUUCAAAACACAAUAAAUUACAGAAAUUAAACGACACGAAAAUUUUUACGUGGUUCGAAUUAAUCAAUUCUACGUACAUGAGGCCACCCCAGAUGAAAAGCAAUUUACUAAGUUGAGAUGUUACAACCUGUGGAUUUACCAAAUUUAAGACUCUUACUUACAGUUUAUCACAAUUCAACUUACUCAAUCUUAGACAAAAUCUGCUUCUCUUGAAUAAUUGCUACCCCUUUUGAUCCACAAUCCUUAAGGUACUUCGCAAAGUGAUUAAUAGCAAUUCUUCAAUUUUUCAAUGUUUAGUGAUAUAAAAUUCACAUAGACUCUCCACAGAGAUGAAAUAAAUAGUCUCGUUAUAUGACUUUGAAUGAAGAAUAUAAGAAAAAAAAUUAACACAACAUUAUGUGCCAAAUUUGGAUUCUCUAUGGAGGAGGCCGAAGCUUUAUGCUCUGUGUUGUGCUCCUUCAAUUGUGAAAUACCCUUNNNNNNNNNNNNNNNNNNNNNNNNNNNNNNNNNNNNNNNNNNNNNNNNNNNNNNNNNNNNNNNNNNNNNNNNNNNNNNNNNNNNNNNNNNNNNNNNNNNNUAAGAGUUUCUUUUCUCUUAUAAUUUCUAUGAAUCUGAAUCGCAAUAAAUUUGAUAUUCUUACUUUGCUUGUCAGCCAAGAAAUAUCUAGAACAUCUAGUAAACUUACUUUUUGAACCAAUUUCUUCUUACUCUAAAUAAAUCUUAUGUGAAUUGGAAUAUUACUAAAUUAGAGAAUUAAUAAAUUAAUCCCUAUUACAAGAUAUGUAAUAAAUAAAAUUUUAAUUUAACUAGACUUGCCAUAAGAUGCCAAGUCUAUAAAAAAUGGACUUAACAAAUUUAUUUUCUAAUAUUUCGAUUCCAAAUGAUAUUAAUUCAUAACUACCGAAUCCUUAAUUCAUUAAAAGAAAUUAUUGACUUGAAGAUCUGGUCAUCAUAAAUUAAUCAAUAAUAACUCCAAAUCUUGGAAAAUUAUUAGUUAGAAAUAAACUAAGCAAUUUACUCUAAAUUUAUUUCGAAGUAACUAAUCAAUUAUCAUCUCAGUUUUUAGGCGCUACAACUACUGCAGCAGUCUACAGAGAGCAUGCACACAGAUUGUGGAUGCAAAUAGGAUUUUCGUCGGGGCAUGUAUAAGCUAUCUGGCACUCUUAGUCACUUGAACAUGGCUUAGUUACUUGCGCUUUUGCUCCUGCUGGCAUACUUGAAAGAAAAAUAACUGUAAAUAAAUAAAAACAAAACAAAACUACCAUUCGUUAAUUUCGUGCAAAAAAUCAAAUGAUAGUAAGAGUCCGUUCGAUAAUAAGGUGUUCUAGUUGCUGUGGAACAAAAGCUACAGCCUAUUGGAAAAUACUAUCGGCUAUAGAGUGAAAGUUGAUGGAUUGAUGUUUGGUUAAAAAUAUAAUCGUAAAAUUAAAGAAACAUAUAAAAUGAAUGUGAGCACGAUGAAGGAUGCAACGUUGAGAGAAGCUUUAGAAAUUUCUUUUUUUGUUGUGUGAAUUUCAGAAGAAUCAAAAGAUUUACUUGUUUCCCUUCUAACCUCUGCUUAAAAUUUAUACUAAUUUGAAGUAAAAGGAAUUUAUUGGGCUACUAAAAAUGCCUCAUCAAAUUUUGAGAUUUUAGCUAAGAAAAAGGCAAGAAAAUCUUUCAACGUAAUCCAAUAAGGGCAUGAAAGAUACAAGGCGUUAAUUUGUUUUUCACUUAAAUUCUAAUGUAAAACAGAUUCUCUUUCCAAAAAUAAAACAGAUUCAAACAGAUACAUGUGUGAUGAUGAUGAUACUUGCAUUAAAUUCAUUUCUUUUAAAUUUUCCAAUAGGCCAGAGAAGAAAUAUGUUUAAUUUGUUUUUCUUAAGUACAAAAGUAAAACAUAUACUUUUUCCAAAGCAAAGCAGUAGUAGUAAUACAGAUUCAUCUCACCAUAUAUACUUUAACAUAUUUCACUCGUUAUAAAUUCUUUUAUUUUAAAUUUUAAUCAAAAAAAUUAUAAGGGUCAAUCUUCUAAAUAUAUUUCCAUCUGAGUCCAAGUCUUAACUCUUAAGUGAUAUCCAAACUUACACUAGACAUUAUAUCCAAGUGGAGCUAUUGCCACCCCUUUGAACUCCUGUUGAAACUCGUUUUUUUAUAUUUUCAGAUUUAGCCUUAGCUAAAAUUAUACCCCUUUAAGUUAAAAAAGAGUUAUUAAAAAAGAAGUUCAAGACAAAAAACGAAAUUUUAUAAAAUUAUUCUUUUUUUGCAUGUGAAAAUACAAAUCUGUUUUAAAUGAAAUAUCAUAAUUUCUGAAAACAGAAGAUUCUGAGCUAAAGUAGAUUUUGUAACAAAACUUGGGCCUUAAGUAGAAUCUAGAGUUUAAUUUAUUAUGCGGCCACUCAAGCUAUAAUCUAAUACUGCAUUUACUUGUUAGUAAUCAGAAUGGGUUGGAAUCGAAAUGAGUUAGAAUGAGAAUGAGCUCGAAUGAGAAUGGGGAAUGGCAAUCGGAAUAAAUUGUUUACUCAAGCUACAAGAAUCGGAAUGGAAAUGGGUUGAAAUCUCACUGAUGUGUUUAUUUUAUCUUGAAAUCGAAAUCAGAAUGAGUUUAAUUGUUUUAAAUUAUUAAAAUGCCCUUAAUUGUUUUAAAUUACUAAAAUGCCUUAGUUAAUAAUAACUAUUAUUAUUUUUUAUUAUAUUAAUAAUAAUAAUAAAUUAAUUAUUUUGAUUAUUUAUUCAAAAAUUAUAAUUAUUAAUAAUAAUUAUUAAUAUAUUAAUUAAUUAUAAAUGAGGAAAAAAUGGAUAUUUUGAGUUUUAGGGAGGGCAAAAUAGUCAAUCCUGAGAAUGGGAGACUCAUUCCCAAACUCCCCUUGGGAAUGAGUCUCCCAUUCUUCAUUCCCAAUUUGUGGUGGGUCCUAUGGUUCUUAUUUUGAUUCCUGACUCUAUUUUGCGAGGUAAACAUCGUCAAUCAUUCUGAUUCCCUUAUCCGAUAAGUAAACUCAAUAUAAGUGAUUUAAUUCUAGUAGAUUUUUUAUUAUAUAUAUCAGUAGACUUUUCAGCAUUAAAAAAAAAAAGUGAAUAAGUGAUUAUUGCAUACAUAUAUUACCUUUUUGAGCUUUCAAAGUUGUUUCACCACCUGAUUUCAUUUAUGGGGGAAGAUCUCUUUAGUAAGUUUAGUUCAAGACUAUAUGGACUCGAAAUCUAAUUAAUUGAGGAGUGAUGAUAUUUGAUCCCAUUUAUUCUUUCACCGGACCCCAUUUCUUAAUUAAUUUAUUUACUAUUAGAAUUAUCCUUUUUAUUAUUUUGUUAAUUUCUCUAUCCUUUUCAAUUACUAGUAACUAGUGCCACUGAGAUAUUGAAUAACUUUAUCAAAUUUCAACUUCUUUGUAGUCAUCCUUUACAAUCGUGAAACUUCCACAAAAGAAAUUGUAUCUAAUGUUUACCAAACCAUGGAUAUUUAUGUCGAGUCCAAUGGAACAAGUGAAGAAACAUUGUUACCGAAUGUCUCAUUUUUUUAUCUUUGUUUGUUUUGUGCAUUUAAUUAAUGAUGUACUAGUUAUUGUGGUGUGCUCAUGUGUCUUAGAAGAUUCAAAGUAAAGUUGAAGCUUGAUUAUGUAUUGUGUAAUGUAACACUAGAAUUUUAUUUACUACUGAAAAUAUUAAUUGGAAAUGGCAAAAAGACCUGACCUGAAUUUUACCCAAUUGACACGACCCAAAGUUUUCAGGGUUUGACCUAAAUUUAAGGGGUUUCAGGUUGAGCUCAAGCUUAAAUAUCAGGGUCUAAUUAAAUUUGGGUCAAGGUUCAGGUCCUAUUUGCCUCGACUUGACCAACCCGACCUGGAGUUCAUGUAUAUCGGAUGUUAUGUCCAUUUUUUUACAAAUUUAAAUUACUUAGAUAAAAACAAUUAUGGACUUGAGGCCUUUUUAUUUCAAAUAAGAAGAAGGGAGAUCCUUAAUGUAAAAUUGUAGAUUGUUAGUGAAUACAAAUCACUCGUUAAUUGAAAGCAAGUAAUUUUUUAUACUGACUCCCUUAUCAAUAUGGAAAAAUCAUCCAUUAAUACUGAUUUCCUUGCAACUUUAUAAUAAUAAUAAUAAUAAUUUUAGGAUCUCAAUCAAUCAAAAGGGAGGUAUUCGGUUCGAAGAUUUGAUUUUUCUACUAAGGACAGGGAUGCAGGUAGAAUCUUGUUGUGCAAAUUUUAUUGAACUCGCAAGUGCACGAAUCUAUUGUAGAAUAGAUUAAUGGUAACGAGUGUCGAUCCUACGAGGAGGUGUAUUUUAAUUAUAUGUAGAAUUAAUUUUCUAUGAGGGUGGUUGGAUUUGUGGUGAAAGUGACUUAGAUUAUCCUAAACUUUGAAUUAAAAUGGUGAGAAUAAAUCGAAGAGAAAUCUAUUGAAAUGACGUACUUGGGUAUCUGGAUCUGCAUCAACAUGCACCAUGGGCUAAAUAUUUCUUAUUAAUGCCAAUUAAAUCAUGAGGAGGGAUUCCACUCCUCAUGAACCACAUUCUAAUUAAUAUGAUGCUAAGAGUUUAUCGUGCCAAAUAAUAAUAACCUUGUACUAGGGAGCCGGUGAAACCAGGGUGGUAUCUAGACAAGAUUAUUACUUUUUGUCGACAAAAAGUCAAAACAUCCACAAUAAUUAGAGGGGAAGAGAAAUUAAAUUUACCAAAUAAAACCCAUGGCACAUGUUAAGACUUCAUCUUCAACCCAAGCUUGAAAGAAAAUUAGCUACUCAUAUUUGAACUAGGGGUAAAAUAAAAAUUUAUUAAAAUACGUAGAAAAUAUAAGAUGGAAAAGGAAUUACAGAAAAUGGAACUAAAAAAUGAAUUCAGGGAUGCCAAAUUAGGGGGGAGGCCCCCUUUUUAUAGAUACAGUGAGUAAAUCAUGGCCAUCAUAUUAAAAACAUUUUGGACGCUCAGGAUUGCACCACAUCAUCAGUCAACAGUACGCAGUUUGACCACGCAGUUUGAACAGUCACACGGUUUGACCACGCGGUUUGAACAGUCAGGCGACUUGAAUAGUGACGCGGUUUAGUUGUAUAUAAUCCCGUGUAUAUGCAUGUACUGUACGCGCGAUUUUUGGUCCACUAUCAUGUUGCCACGCCAUCAAUCAACAAUACAUAAGAAUUUUAGUCCAAUAGAAUCGUGACACCUCAUCAGUCAAUGCCACAUCAUCAGUCAAUGUCAUGUCAUCGUUCCGUAUGCGUGAACAGUGUCGUGAACAGUAACAUGGACAAUACCGUACAUGUGAACAGUGACAUUUUUCCUUUUAUGCUCCUCCUAAGGUUUUCGACUGUCUUGAGUUCAAAAGUGAUGUCCGUUUUGCCGUCUGAUCUCUCGUUCAUUGUGAAAUUACCAUGAUGCCCCUAAAAUACAUAAAAUACUUAAUUAAAAUGAAACACACAUAAUUAAAUCACAAGAAACUUAAAUACAUAAAAGUAAGGGUGUUAGUAAGAUUUAAAAUAUAAAAUGAUGAUUUUUUUCUUUAUAAAUAUAUAUUUUCUAACACUCAACAAACCUCCCAUGGAGUGGAUGAUUGUCUCAUAUAUUGAAGGAAGGUGAUUUAAAAAAUAAAUAAAAUAAAUAAAAAAGUCAGGGAUUUUAAAGAUAAAUUAAAGGAUCAACUAUCACAAUUCUUACUGAAACUCAUUUGUACAUUUUACAAUCAAACUCACAAAUAAAUAGUCUCUAACAGUGGCUUGGACGCACAUGUAUAUGAUUAGGGAUGGCAAUUGGUCAAGCCUGAGCCCGACUCGAUCAAAAAAAUAAAAAGCUCAACUUGAAAAAGAUUCUGAUCAUUGAAUUUCAGGUCGGGUCGGGCUUUUGUCCAUGCAAAAUUUCAUAAAUUUUUUAAAGAUUUUUUUUAUAUUUAAGUAAUUAAAAUUUAAAAAAGGGACACAACCUCCCAUAUAUAUUAAAAUUUAGCAUAAAAAUAAAAAUUACUCAAAAUCUCAACCAUUUAAUUAUAUAAAUAAUAAAAUAAAUAUAAUCCAAAAUUAUGUUUUAUAAAAUUAUACAAGUAAAAUCAUUUUUUUUAUUUUUGAAUUCGGUUCAGGUCGGCCAGGCCAGGUAGGGCUUCAAUCUUUCCCCGAACUUAAUCAGGCUUUUUUUUAUUUUUGUAGGCUUUUUAUUUUAAUUACUUAAAUAAAAAAUUUUAAAAAUUUUAAAAAUUUCAAAAAUUUUAUGAAAUUUUUUAUAUAAAAUUAUACAAAUAAAAUAAAAAAGGGACAUAACCUCCCAUGUAUAUUAAAAUUUAGCAUAAACAUAAAAAUUACUCAAAGUCUCAACCAUAUAAUUAUAUAAAUAAUAAAAUAAACAUAAUCUAAAAUUAUGUUUUAUAUUUUUUAUUUUUGAAUUCAGAUCAGGUCGGAUAGGUCAGGUAGGGCCUGAAUCUCGACUCGAACUUAAUCAAGCCCUAAUUUUUAGGCUCAAGCUCGACCCUUAAAUUUAGGUCAAAUCCUGAAAGAUUCUGGUCAGGUCAAUUAGGCCAAAAUUGAGGCCGGCUCUUUUUGCCAUUCAUAUAUAUAGUUCCUUUGGACCCAAUGGGUCAUGAACUUUCUAGGCCCGGCGAUGAUUUUCUUUGGCCCACUAGAGGUUGAAUUUGCAUUUUAUCACGUAAUUAAUUUUACAAACAUUCCAUUUAAAAUUAUGCUCACCCCAAAAUUAAUUACCAAAGAAGUAAAACCUAAAUGAAUAUUUCGAUUUAGUAGUGAAGCUAAUUAUUUUCAUCCGAGUUAAACCCGAAUAAUGUUAAAAGAUAUCAUGUGUAUGUUUAUUUAUCAUAUCGUUUCAUUAUCAUAUAUAAGAGGGACAGGGCCGGCUUUAGAGUAUAUGGGGCCUUAGGCAAAAUUUUUUGUGGGGCCUUUUUUUAUUUUGCAAUUUUAAUAUUUAAUGAAAUAUAAGACUAAAAAAUUCAUACGACUUUUAACUCUUGAAUUUUAAUAGUAAUAAAAAAUAUCUUAAAAAUUUUCAAAAACCAAACCUAAAAAAAUAACCAAGAAGAUAUCUUUUUUAUUUCCAUUAAAAUUAUUACAAAGAUAAACAAACAAAUAAAUACAAACAAUAUUAUUUUCAAAGAGAAUAUUUAGAAUAGUAGAAAGUUGAGAUGAUGAAUUGAUUAUCAAAUAAUAGAUAUGCACUUUGUAUUUUAAGAAACUAAUUUUUUUCUUUUUUAAAUGAAUCAAUGAAUGUAAUAAUUCUCUUCGUAAAAAAAAAAGACCAAGAAAUCUAUUUAUUUAUUAUUUUUUAUAUUAUAAGGUUUUAAUGGAAAUUAAAAGGAAUAUUAAAAAUCAAAGAAAUUAAUUUUUUUAGGAAACUUAAAAGGGAAAAAAUUUAAUUUUUUUUUUGGAAAAACUAAUAAUGAAUGAAUUAAUGGCUAAAAUUUUUUAUUAAUUAUAUCUCUUGAACAUUAAAGUUACCAAAUAUUGAUUUUCUACAGAAAAAAUAAUUGUUAGUUGUGGUAUAACCGUUAAUUAUAAAGAUGUCUAAUAGGCUUUUCUACAAUACAUAAUUAAAAAAAAAAAGAUCUUUAUUAAUUAAAUAACUAUUACGAAAUACUAAAAAAAAAUGAGGCCUUAAAAAAAUAUAGGGCCUUAGGCAAUCACCUUGUUCGCCUAUACUUAAAGCCACCCCCCUGAAGAGGGAUAGCUACACAUAUGCCACAUAAUUGUCAUAAUAAAAAUUAUGCAAAGAAAUAAAUUUUAAAUGUUAAAUACAAAAAAAAAUCAAUUUAUAAUUUUCAUGGGCAAUGAUAGCCAACUACCCCUUUAAUUGUUAUAAUGAUAUUUUGGCCAUUAUAAGUAUAAAAUUUAGAAAUACUAAUUGUAGUUCCUAUUGCUAUCUCACGACCGUCGGAUAUAAUGUAAAGAGCCGACAAGUGCUUGAGACAACUAACAGCAUGGACUAUUACUAAAAACGGUAUUUAGACUUACGGGAAAGAUCAUUCUUCUGAAUUAAAAGGUAUCUGUAUUGAACCAAUAUCUAUUUGUUUAUGUUAACUUUAGAUUGAAAUUUGGGGCCUGAGAAUGGAAAACUAUCAUUAAGAUAUGUGGACAUUACAAGUCAUAUAACUUGGGCAGGUCUAAUAUAAAAAGGUGUACAAAUUAACCUUAAUGCAUCAGCAAUUUCUGUGACUAAUUUUGUUAAUUCAAGAGUCUAUUCCCUUACAACUCCAUCAACACGAAAAAAGUUGAUCAUCAAUUCAACAUGAGUUCUGCUACAAUGAAGAACAAUAUUCAUAAUAUUUGUGGCAACAUUUAUUGUACGCUUCUAGCUGGAAUCUUAUUAAAAAUUGGAGCAUAUAGGUUGAUUCAAAUGAAUAUGGAACUAUUACCGCACGCCCAUGACUCUUAGAUGAGAAUGUCCUCAUUUUUUUAAAUAUAGAUUUAGGAUUUUAUAAAAUUGUGAAAGCCUUUUACAAUGUUGUAAAACUCCGAAUUGACAUUUUAAAAAAUACGGGUACUUGCAAGGACUAUAAUAAUAAGAUUGCCAGCAGUGGCGGAUCUAUGCGUGGGCUAGACCGGGCUCCAAAAAAAAUCUUUUAUAUCCCUUAUGUUUUUAUUAAUUUAGUAAAAUGAGAGAUUUUUUUUUUUCAUAUAUGUCCCUAAUUCAACUGCCCUUAUGAUUUCAUCAAUUUAGUAGAACAAUAGAGUUUUUAUUUUAUAUUCAAAUAUGUCCCUAAUUCAAUUAUAUUAUUUUCAAUUGAAAUUAGUGACUUAUUUUAUAAAAUGAUUAAAUUAUAUAUUUAUUGAAUAGAUUGUAAAUAUUAGGGAGCUAAAAUUUUAUUACUGCUUUAAUUUAUUUUAAAAAACUUCUAAUUGAAAAAAAAGUAUGUCAAUGUAAUAUAACAUCAUCAAUGGUAUUAAAAAUACUUAUAAAAACAACAUAUAGUAACAAUUAUCAACAUUUUCAUAAAUUUUUUAUAUGAAUUUUCAGACUUUAUUUUUUAGUUCCAUUAAUUAGGAGGACAAGUUAGAAAAUAAAAUUAGAAUAUUUUAAGGAGCUUUUGAUAGAAGUAUUAUCAACAUCUAGUUCUUUAAAAAGAGAAAUAGCACCUGACUCUCUCACAACUGCAUCCAGGUACUUUUUUACUGAAUUGAGUUUAGUUUAUUAUUAAAAAUUUUAACUAAUAAUACUUUUAUAAUUUGAAUGGAUGAAUAAAUUUUAAUUGUUUAAUUUAUUAAGCAUGGUAAUUUAGUACUUGAUUUCAAACAUAAAAGUUUUACUUGUAAUUUUUAAUUGAUUGUAAUUACAUAUAUUAAUCUAUUUUAGUUUGGGAUUCUUAAUUGAUUUCUUAAUCCUUAUAUAAUUACAUGUUAUUAUAGGUUGCAAUGUCAGAUUCCAUAAUUGAAAAAUAGAGUUUUGAUAUUUAAAUUAUUUUUUGUUUUCUACUCUUUUUUUAUAAUUAUUUUUGUUUAUAGUACAUCUUUAUGGGGAUAGAGUUCUUAGUGUUCCCCCUUAAUUAAUGUAUUUCUUUUUACUUAUAAAUUUUUAUGUUUGCUUUUAGCCCUGGAUAAUUAUAAGUCCUGGGUCCGCCCCUGACUACAAGCAGGUAUUUCAUUUGUGUUUUAUAACAUUGUGAUUUGUUUGAUGAUCUACGCAAUUAUCACAUGGUUACAAGUCUUGGAUAAUAUUACUCUCUUUAUUAGUUAUCAAAAUUUUAAAGAAUGAAUGAAUAAUUAUUUAUACCUAUUUUUAAAAUGUAAUACAAAAAUUAAGUGAAAUUAAACAAAUCAGAAACGAACAAAAAAUGCUAUCUAUUCCCUUUAGUGUUUGCAUCAUUAAUUGUGAAAUCAUCCUUGAAUUUGAGAGCUGCAUUUCUAAGCCAAGCUCCCCCACCAGUCAAGUCCUUGGACAAGAACAUAUAUGCUUCAACAUCUGAUAAGCUGUUUGACCAAGCAAUCCUUUUUGAUCUAUCAGCUCCCGGACCCGAACACCUGUAUUCACCGUAGUACAACUUUCUGCAAAAUCAACACAUCAAAAACAAUGAAACAAGUUAAACACCUGGCCUGUAUGUGGUUAAUUUCAAUUUGGUACACAUACUAUUAAAGCAGAUUAAUUGAAUAAAUGAUAUACUUCUGCAUGGCAUGGUCGUUCAGAUCAUUCCAUCCUUGGGGCAGUAUCACAUCGGACAUGUAAGUCAGGGCAUACACAACCCUAGAAUAAGGACCCCAGGGCCUUCCAAGCACUGCCUUACCAACGCCGGAAAUCUUGCAAUCCAAGAAAGUGAAUCCAGUGUUUUCCUCUGAUGACACUCUUUUCUGAGCAGUUAUAGCUCCGCCCCACGUGGAAAGAGAAUGUAUAAGGCAUCUCUGCAAAUUAAGGUCAUGAGUCAAUGUUGUGAAACUUAAUUAAUUAAGUGUUCAUGUUGGAAAUUAAGGUAGCGUAAUGAGAAUGAGUAUUCACUUCAAAGAGGGAGUUAGCAUUUCCGCUGAUGAAAUCCGUUGCUCCUUCGAUGUAGCAUUUGCUAUAAUAAUGAUUUCCAGUGUCAUCUAGCAGUGUAUGUUGGUAAGACAGAAUCCUGCAGCCGUAAAAUGCUGCUCUAUCUGCAGAGACUCUUAGCGCAACUGCUUUGCCGUAUGAUCCAUAUGUGUUCUGUAACAUAUUAAUUUAUCAAGGUAUAAGUUAUAUACGUAAAUGAUAUCUAGCAAUCAAGGACUUCAUCAUAUACGAAUACUGCAAAGCAAAUACGUACCUGAAUCGUUAGAGAUCGCGCAACAAAAUGAGAAGCCAACACAGUGAAAGUUGCAGAAUCAAGGAUGGAGCCACCAUCACUCCAUGUUAUUUUGGUGUGAGAUGCCUUUGUGCCACUGAUUGUUAUGAAAGGCUUAUUAGCAGGCACAAUAAUCUUUUCUCUGAAUAUAUAUGACCAAGCACAUGUAAACAUAUAGAAGAAAUUGUGUGAUGAGUUCUAGUUAUUGAAACGAAAAAAAUUCAAUUGAAAAUAUAUAAAAGAAGAGAUGUAACAUUUAAUUGUUGACCUGUAAAUUCCUGGGGCAACCGAAAUGAAAACCAAUUCUGAGUUGUUAUCUGGUACAGAAUCAAUGGCUCCUUGUAUGGUCCUAAAAUCUCCUCUGCCGUAUUUUUCAACUCUAAUGAGAACAGCAGCGGAGAAAUCUUUGGGAAUUGUAGCAGUAGAGCCGCAGGUAGCCGUGAUUGAAGCAAAAACAAUUGUUGUUGCAACAACCAGAAUGCUGACAUUUUGACUAUAAUUCUUCAUUGUAACAGAACCCAUAUAUGUUAAUGAUAAACUUUUUCUACACCUUUCAAUAUGUGGCUUCCCCUGCCCCCAGGUGAAAUUAGAUUUAAACCUUUACUUACUCUAUUUAAUUAGAAACUAACAAAUAAAGAUAGGCCUAUUUAGAGAUUGUUAAUGUCAUAUGACUUGUAAUGUUAACAUCACUUGAGACUAUUUUUCGUUCUCAACCGCAGCUGUCAAUCUAACGUUAACAUAAACAAAUCGAUAAUGACAUAAUUUAGAUACCCUUUUAAUUUAGGAGAAUGAUAGUUCUUUGCUUAAAGUUUGAAUACCUUUUCUAGUUAUAGUCCAUUUACUGUUAUUAGUUUUAGGGAGUUGACAGCUGUUGACUUGGAAAAUAUUAAUAAUAAAACCUUAUAUCCAGCGGUUAUGAGCCGGCAAUAUUAUAGAAACCAAACUAUUACUAUCACGUAUUUGGCUAUCAUUUGCCCAUGAAAUUACACAUUACCUUUUUAUUUUUGUUGCACUUUAAAAUUUUAAUUUUUUUCCUUAAUUAGUAUCAUUUUAAUUGCCACAAUGAAGUUAACUUUAUUAGGACUCGGGCUUGAAGCUUUUUUUCAUGUGACACGGAAUCUUUGCUGAUAUCUUUUGCGAUCCCUACUAUGCCUUAAAACUGAAAAUUUUCUUUUGAUAUUUAUUUGGCUUCUUACUUUUGGUUCAUCAUCGGCCCCCAUAAAACAGAAGCAGCAAGGAGUCUGAUUUGGUUUGCUUAGUUUCUAUUCCAAAUUAAGAAUGUAUAGUCGUUUCUUACUCUUUAUCCUAAUCAAUGUACCUAGUAUAUGGCUUUCAUUCAUAAGAAAUGACCAAACAAAUCCUUGUUCAUGAACAAUACAUGCAAGCAAAAGUAGAAAUGCUGUAAAUGGUAGGCGGGUUUGAUCAUGUUCAGUAAGCAACCAACUUAAUUUAAUGGGAAAGCUGCAGUUGAGUAUGGAGAAUAGUUAAGUUAAUUAUGUCACGAUUAAAUAAUUAAGUUAAUUAUGUCAAGAUUAAUUAACAAACACGACAUGGCCUGAUAGAAAAUUUUCUGAGUUUUUUUUUUUUUGCAACUAAUCUCACAGCUGAUGGGUGAUGACUGAACUUGAAUAAGUAAUCAUGUAGCACGUAAACUAAGAUUUCACGCACUUUCUGUAAUCUUGUAUUUCAAGCAAAAUCAGCUAGUGAUUCUUCUGCUUACAAUGUCCUUAAUUCUCUAUUGUACUUGAAUGUUUAUGUUAAGAUGACCAUCUUUUAUUUCAACUGCAAGAAAUCGGCUACAAGCCAUCAAUUUUGUUGAUUUUCAUCUUUUAUUUCUAACUGCAAGUAGGAUUUCCGUUGGGCCAUGUAUAAGCCAUCUGGCACACUUAGUCACUCGAACAUGGCUUAGUUACCUGCGCCUCUGCUCCUGCUGGCAUACUUGAAAGUAAAACACCUCCAAAUAAAUAAAUAAAUAAAUAAAGGAAAAUUAUCAUUUCACUACUUUUAUUUAUGCUUAUCCAACCACUAUAAAAUUUUAACAUAUAUUUUGCACCACCUUAUUUUUCACAUUUAUAUCAAUUAGCCACUUUUGCAUUAACACUAUUAAAUAAUUUUAAUAAAAUGACAAUUUUACCCCUAAAUAAAUUAAAAGACCAUUUUAUCUUAAAAAACUUUUAAAAUUAAAAAUUAUAAUCAUAAAAAUAUCCCUAAAUUUAAUAAAAAAUAAAUCCCAAAUAGAGGUGCUCAACUAAUUUUUACUAAAUUUAGAUUUUACAAAAUUUUAAUAAUUAUUUUUAUUAAAAAUGAUAAUUUUACAAAAUUUUAAUAAAAAUAAAUGAAUUUAUUUAUUAAAAAAUUAUAAUUUUGUAAAAUUUUAUUAAAAUAACUGAAUUUAUUUCUUAAAAGAAUAAGUCCUAAAAUUUUAAUAAUUUAGGGGAUUUUUAUUAAAUCCCAAAAUUUUACAAUUAUUUUUAUAAUUAUAAUUUUAUAUUACAAUAAUUUUUAUUAAAAAUAAAAAUUCUAAUUUUGGGAUUAUUUUUAUUAAAUUUAGGGAUAUUUUUAUCAUUAUAUUUUUUAUUUUUUAAAGUUUUUAUAAAAUAAAAUGGUCUUUUAAUUUAUUUGGGGGAAAAUUGUUAUUUUAUUAAAAUUAUUUAAUAUGGUUAAUGCAAAAGUGGCUAGUUGAUACAAAUGUGAAAAGAAAGGUGGCACAAAGUGUUGAGUGUUAGAAAAUGUAUAUUUAUAAAGGAGAAAAUUGUCAUUUUACACUUCAAGUUUUACUAACACCCUUACUUUUAUAUAUUUAAGUUUCUUGUGAUUUAAUUAUGUGUGCUUUAUUUUAAUUAAGUAUUUUAUAUAUUUUAGGGGCAUUAUGGUCAUUUCACAAUGAACGAGAGAUCAGACGGCAAAACGAACAUCACUUUUGAACUCAGGACAGUCGAAAACUUUAGGAGGAGCAUAAAAGGAAAAAUAUCACUAUUCACAUGUACGGUAUUGUCCAUGUUAUUGUUCAUGACACUGUUCACAUAUACGAAACGAUGACGUGUCAUUGACCGAUGAUGUGGCAUUGCCUGAUGAGGUGUCACGAUUCUAUUGGACUAAAAUUCUUAUGUACUGUUGAUUGAUGACGUGGCAGCAUAUCAGUGGACUAAAAAUUACGCGUACGGUUCAUGCAUAUACACAGGAUUAUUUUCAAUCAAACCGCGUCACUGUUCAAACCAGUUGACUGUUCAAACCGCGUACUGUUGACUGAUGACGUGACGCAAUCCUGAGCGUCCAAACUGUUUUUAAUUCGAUGGCCAUGAUUUACUUAAUGUAUCUAUAAAAAAAGGGCCUCUCCCCCCUAAUUUGGCAUCUCUGAAUCUAUUUUUGGGCUCUAUUUUCUGUAAUUCCUUCCCCAUAUUAUAUUUUCUAUGUAUUUUAAUAAAUUUCCAUUUUGCCCCUAGUUCAAUUAUGAGUAGCUAAUUUUCUUUCAAGCUUGGAUUAAAGGUGAAGUCUCAACAUGUGUCAUGGGCUUUAUUUGGUAAAUUUAUUUUCUCUUCCCCUCUAAUUAUUGUGGAUGUUUUGACUUUUUGUCGAUAAAUAAUAAUAACAUUGUCUAGAUACCGCCCUGGUUUCACCGGCUCCCUAGUACAAGGUUAUUAUUAUUUGGCACAAUAAGUCCUUAGCACCAUAUUAAUUAGAGUGUGGUUCAUGAGGUGUAGAUUCCCCCCUCAUGAUUUAAUUCGCACUAAUAAGGAAUAUUUAGCCCAUGGUGCAUGUUGAUGCGGAUCCAGAUACCCAAACGCUUCAAUUAUAAUAGUUUUCACCUUAAUUUAAUUCCGCCAUUCCCAUUUAAAUUCUAGGAUAAUUUAAAUCACUUCCACCACAAAUCCAAUCAACCACCCAAUUCAAAAAUUAACUCUACAUGUAAUUAAAAUUCACCUCCUCAUGGGAUCGACACUCGUCACCGUUAAUCUAUUCUACAAUAGAUUCGUACACUUGCGAAUUCAAUAAAAUUUGCACAACACAAAGUACAUGUUAAAAUUUUGUAGUGGUUGGAUGAACAUAAGGCAAAAUAAAGGUGGUGCAAUGAUAAUUUCCCAUAAAUAAAAGUAAAACAAAACUACCAUAAGCUAAUUUCAUGCAAAAAAUCAAAUGAGACUAAGGGUUCGUUCGAUAAUGAGGUGUUCUAGUUGAUGUGGAACAAAAGCUAUAGCCUGUGAAAAUAGAUGGAUCGAUGUUUGGUUAAAAAAAUAAUCGUAAAAUUCAAGAAAUAUAUAAAAUGAAAGUGAGCAUGAUGAAGGAUGCAACGUUGAGAGAAGCUUUAGAAAUUUUUAUAUUUGUUGUGUGAAUUUCAGAAGAAUCAAAAGAUUUACUUGUUUCCCUUCUAACCUCUACUUAAAAUUUAUAUGAAUUUGAAGUAAAAGGAAUUUAUUGGGCUUCUAAAAAAAGAGCAAGAAAAUCUUUCAAGGUAAUCCAAUAAGGCCAUGAAAGAUACAAGGUUAAUUUGUUUUUUACUUUAAUACUAAUGUAAAACAAAUUCUCUUUCAAAAAAUAAAACAAAUUAAAACAUAACCAUCUGUGCUGAUGAUGAUACUUGCAUUGAAUUCAUUUCUUUUAAAAUUUCCAAUUUGGGUACUGGAUAAAAUAUGGUGUAUAGUUAAGCUUGAAUCAGGAACCUUAAAGGUUAUGAAGUGGUCAAUUGUGGUGAUGAAAGGAAAUAAGAGCAAUGGUCUGUAUAUACUUCAAGGUUCAGUUGUUACAGGUGAUGUUACUGUGUCAAACCAGAAUUUAGACAAAACUAUUUUGUGGCAUAUGAGGUUAUUGUUAUGAAAAUUUUAUUGAACUCGCAAGUGCAUGAAUCUAUUGUAGAAUAGAUCAAUGGUGACGAGUGUCGAUCUCACGAAGAUGUGGAUUUUAAUUGUGUGUAGAAUUAAUUUUUCUAAAUGGGUGGUUGGAUUUAUGGUAAAGAUGAUUUGGAAUAUUCUAAAACUUAAAUUAAAAUAGCGAGAAUAAAUUGAAGUGAAAUCUAUUGAAAUGACGCACUUGAAUAUCUAGAUCUUUAUCAACAUGCACCAUGGGCUAAAUAUUCCUUAUUAGUGCCAAUUAAAUCAUAAGGGGGGAAUCCACACCUCAUGAACCACACUCUAAUUAAUAUGGUGCUAAGAGUUUAUCGUGCCAAAUAAUAAUAACCUUGUACUAGAGAGCCGGUGAAACCAGGGCGGUAUCUAGACAAGAUUAUUAUUAUUUGUCGAUAAGAAGUCAAAACAUCCACAAAAACUAGAGGGGAAGAGAAAAUAAAUUUACCAAAUAAAGCCCAUGACACAUGUUGAGACUUCACCUACAACCCAAGCUUGAAAGAAAAUUAGCUACUCAUAAUUAAACUAGGGGUAAAAUGAGAAUUUAUUAAAAUACAUAGAAAAUACAAUAUGGAGAAGAAAUUACAGAAAAUGGAGCCCAAAAAUGAAUUCAGAGGUGCCAAAUUAGGGGGGAGAGGUCCCAUUUUUAUAGAUAUAUUGAGUAAAUCAUGGCCAUCGGUUUAAAAACAGUGUGGACGCUCAGGAUUGCGCCACGUCAUCAGUCAACAGUACGAGGUUUGAUCACUCGGUUUGAACAAUGGCACGGUUUAGUUGAAAAUAAUCCUAUGUAUAUGCAUAUACUAUACGCGCAAUUUUUGGUCCACUGAUAUGCUGCCACGUCAUUGAUCAACAGUACAUAAGAAUUUUAGUCCAAUAGAAUCGUGACACCUCAUCAGUCAAUGACACAUCAUCGGUCAAUGCCACGUCAUCGUUUCGUAUAUGUGAACAGUGUCAUGAACAAUAACAUGAACAAUACCAUACAUGUGAAUAGUACCGUACAUGUGAACAAUGACAUUUUUCCUUUUAUGCUCCUCCUAAGGUUUUCGACUGUCCUAAGUUCAAAAGUGAUAUUCGUUUUACCGUCUGAUCUCUCGUUCAUUGUGAAAUGACCAUGAUGCCCCUAAAAUAUAUAAAAUACUUAAUUAAAAUAAAACACACGUAAUUAAAUCACAAGAAGCUUAAAUACAUAAAAGUAAAGGUGUUAGUAAAAUUUGAAGUGUAAAAUGACGAUUUUCUCCUUUAUAAAUAUACAUUUUCUAACACUCAAUACACCCCCCAACCAACUUAUUGCUAGUCCCUAGUAAAUAAAGCGAAAACAAAAUUCAAAUCCAAAAUGAUUUUUUUUUUAACAAUCAUGUUUAUUCAAUCAGACUAAUGAUAGUAAUCAAAUAAAAAUAUAAGCAUUAUCUCCAGUCUAAAUAAACAUCACACCCACAUCAACCAUCCACAUGAAUCAACCCAGUAGACUUUGUCACAGCUGUUUUCAAGAAUGACAUGUUAAACCCCAAAAUCUCACUGGAAGUAGUGACACUCUCACAAGGAAAUUAAACCCAAUAAAAAUAGUCACUUCAAUGAAUGCUGAAUUUGAGAGAAAAUAAUAAAGAAGUAAUGUCACACGCUCUCACCAAGAUGAAAGAAAUAUGCCCUCAGCUCAGAAAUAAUACGAUCUCAAUUCAAACAAAAAUGCUAGUCAACCUAAUUUAUUUAUUUAUUUAUUUUUAUUAUGCACCACUACAUCUUUUUAGCCCAUAUAACUAGCUUCUAUAUCAGACUAUAGUUCCCUAAAAUCAAGAAGGUCUUUUAUUAGGACGUAACGUAGGCUAGGGACAUGGCUAACAAAAGAGGGGAAAUAAGGAAAACAAAAUGUAUGUUUGAGAAAAAUGUAGAGAUUUUUUUCUCCUUUUUUUUUUUAAAGUUGCAAGGUGGAUUUCACCUAUUAUUGUUAUUUAUUUAUUUUUUUAACAACAAUUUUUUCUUUUUGCUUUUGUUUGGCACAACUUCACUGAACAAAAUAAUUAUUUACAUUUUUCUCAAACAUAAAUAGGUGAUGGAACUUGUAAGAUAUCGGUUAAUACUCCAAAUCAGAGUGGGUCAAGAUGAUAAGUUUGACAAAGAAAAAGUUUUUUUUUAAAGGCUCAAACGGGUUAACUGUGGAUAUUUCACAAAAUGAAUGGCUAGAAAGGCUCAAACGGAUCAAAGAUGGCUUUUCCAUUGUCUUUUAGGGCUCUAAAUAAUCUUUCAUAUCUACUAGUUAGAUGGGCCUCCAAAUAUAACAACACACAUUUUUUUUUCUUUUUUUUUUAAUUUUAUAAUUUUUUUAAGGGUUAACUCAAAAGAAAUCUAGAGAUCGUGUAUAAAAUAAUAAACUGCUAAGUUGUAUGAAAAAUGGGCAAAGGGAUUACUCUCCAAAAUAAUACAAAUACUAAAAUUUGAAAUUCAUCAUGUCAUCCAAUGUUAAAACAAAUCACACAACUUUUUUUUUUUUCAAACAACAUUCUACCCCCCAACCUAUUCUAAACAUGAAAGGAAAAUAUGCAUGUAGAAAUGUGAAAAUGAUGCAGAAAAACUAAUUAGAAAAGUUACAAUUAAAAUGAUAGAAAAAGAAAAUGGUUUUUUUUUUUAACUAAGAAGAUGUGUUUCUAGAGGCACUACACUCUAUAUUCCACCAUCUUUAACUCAAAAAUUUGAAAGUGUAUAUUUAUAAAGGAGAAAUUAGAAAGAAAAAGUUAGAAAAAAAAUAAUUGUCAAAGCUUAAUAAAGAAAAAGAAAAUAUCUGGAAUAUUUUUUAUUAUUUUAUUUUAUUUUAUUUUUUUCAAACGAAGAAGAUGCGUUUCUAGAGUAACUAUACUCUAUAUUCAGCCAUCUUCAACACAAAAAGUUAGCCACGGUUAGUCUCUAUAAUAAAAAAAUUAGUAAAAACUUAACCAACAUUCCACAAUUGUCAACUAUUCCCUCCCCCCAACCAGAACGAAACAUUGUCCUUAAUGUUUGAAAGGAAAAAAGUAGAGUUUAGAAGACAUCACCUGGGUGGUGCAACACAGAAGAAAAUAUUUACAAGCGGAGAGUUAAAUCUAAUUUGUACUUCUUACAGCGGCUACUGUUACCAUCAUUAUUUGGACGCUCCAACACAAAGGUCCAGGGGUCUAGCUCCAGUUUAUAAGCUUGUAACAGAUCAAGUAGCUUAUUAGCAGUGCGUGCACAAAUAAAAAGUUUUUUCGCUGUGGAAGGAAUGAAAUAGUUUUUUAUUGCAUGGUUAAGAAAUGCGAUGAAGCCAUCAUAAAAGUUAUUGACAUUUAACAAAUCAAUAGGUUUCUGGUGAAUGUGCAGAUGGGCCCAAGAUGCUAGUGUGAUAAGUGCCUCUAGUGUUGCAAGAUCUCAUAGAAGGAAAAUAAAAGCAUUACCAUGAUUAAGCAUUUCAUCUAUUCUUUCUUGCAUACCUGAGACGACUAACUCUUCUUCAGUUGGUGAGUCAGACAAACUGUCCAAAAGUUUUAGGGCUCUUGGGAUGAUGCCUAACACUUGGCUUUCUCUGACAAAAGCAGCUUCUGAGACCAAUUUUGAUAACCCUCGGUUACCUCUUCCAUACACCAAGUGUAAUUUUCUCUCUGUUAUGCUUCGACCAAGAUCUAUGGCUGCCUCAACGAACUCUUUAUGUUUGACAUAGUUAAAUCCAGAAAGCACACAAAUGUUCUUGAAUUGUCUAUUGGGAGUAGCUGCCAUUGGGAUACUUCUUAAAAAUAAUUUGUGAGUGCUUGACAAAAAAUCAUAUUUAAUAAUCUUGGUGACAAUGAGUCACAGCUCUGUACGAGGUAGCAUGUCAGUGUCAAUUAAUGUGUAAAGCACAUGGCUCGAGAGUCAAAAAGCAAACAGUAAAAAGAAAAAAAAUGAUAAAAUAAAAUUAUUAAAGACAAUAAUGCAAAUGAUAAAACAACAGUAAAAUAAAACAACAAUGAAGUAAAAAAAUAUUUACAGGUAGUUGCAACUGUGGCUCACAUAUUCCUCUGGUUUUACGUCCAGAAACGACUUGAACGCCAUCUAUAGGUCGAGGAUAGGCUUCCCAUCCAGUUUUCUUAUAAACUGGCAAACAUGGUCGUUUAUAGUCAGAUUCCCGAGACUAUAUCGUGCAUGCUCUUUCUAGAAUAAUGGUCAUAACUGGAGAAUCACUCCUUGCACAUAUCCACUGGGAUAUGUUUCAAGAGACAAAAGAAUAUCAUCCAAUGACUCUUUAUUCAAGCCAUCACUAAUGAAUUGAAUCUUAUCUUCCCUGUUAUCAUACACCAUUCCUAAAGAACAUGAUUUUUUAUCACAACUCAUUUUGUCACACUUAUGACAAGCAACAGAAAUUCUUCGAGCUCUUCGUUUUCUUUCAUAAUUUUCUUUACCACAACCAGACAUGUAUGCAAUAAAUUUUGGAGGUAACUCACCUGCCAAUUGUACUUUAGCCUCGAUUAACCAACGGAUGUCAGCAGGUAUGUUAUUCCUCAUGAGCAAUUGCAUGCGUUCGAACCGAGCUUUAUAGAUUGUAAGGAUGGUAUUAUGAGGAAGUGAAGGGAAUCGAUUGAAAAGCUUUUCUAGAAUCUCGUUUCUGUCCAUACCUUCGCCUCAGAAUAUCAGUUAUUAUGGGAAACUGAAGUAACCGACUUGAUCGUCACAGAGUACCAUUAUCCGCCACUUCACUGGGUAACAAACUAAAGCACACAAACAAAGAAAAACAAACUAAAACACAUAAAGAAAAUUAUAAUCGUCCUCUUAUUGAAUUUACCUCAAGCUCCAAUUGGAUGUUGUAGACACUUCUCUCAAUGUCUCUGAGUUGGCUUUCUAAAUCCUCAACAUAGGAUACUAACUCUGGUGGUUGCAGAACCCAAAUAUGAUGUGUUUUACGAAAUUGAAUCUGCCUUUUGAGACGAGAUUUUACACUUUGAAGUGGUUUAAGAAUGUCCAGGAGGAAUUGUUUAGCGAUGGCACUCAUGAUUAACAAUGAUAAGAGAAAACUUAAUAGUUAAACAAACACACUUAUGCAAAAAUAAUUUCAAUUAGCAAAAGAAUAAUAAAAAGAAAGAAAGAAAAAAAUCAAAUCACCGAAAAGAAAGAAAGAAAAACUUAAUUCAAAUCUGGUGGGUCACUCAAAUUUAUUUCGGUGUCUUCUCCAUGUGGUUGGUACUCUAGAUUUGACUUUAAUCUUUGACCAUUAACUUUAAACGUGACACCGUUCUUUGGAUCUUUAAUUUCAAUUGCUCCAUGUGGAAAAAUAGUAUGAACAAUAAAAAGGCUAGACCAUCGAGAGCGUGACUUACCUGGGAGUAGGUGCAAGCGAGAAUUGAAUAAAAGCACUUUCUGACCUGGAGUGAAAGAUUUUCUCAUAAUUUGCUUGUCUUGAAAGACUUUCAUUCGUUACUUGUAAAUUUUGGCAUUUUCGUAUGCAUCAUUGUGAAUUUCUUCAAGUUCUGCCAGUUCUAAUAUUUUUUCUGAGCUAGCUUGCUGCAUGUCAAAGUUGAAUUUCUUAAUGGCCCAAUAUGCACGAUGCUCGAGUUCCACAGGUAAGUGACAAGCUUUUCCAUACACUAGCUUGUAGGAUGACAUCCCAAUCGGGGUCUUGAAAGCCGUUUUAUAUGCCCAUAAUGCAUCAUCAAGUCUUGAUGACCAAUCUUUUCUGUAUGGCCUCAUCGUCGUUUUUAAUAUGUGCUUUAUUUCUCGAUUGGAGAUCUCAACUUGACCAUUGGUUUAUGGAUGAUAUGGGGUCGCCACUUUGUGAGUGAUGGAAUACUUUGUCAAAAGAGUUUUAAAUGCUUUGUUACAAAAGUGGGCACCACCAUCAUUGAUUAUCGCUUGAGGGAAUCCAAAGCGUGAAACAAUGUUGCUUUUCAAAAAUCCUAUCACCACCUUGUGAUCAUUAGUUCUACAUGGAAUUGCUUCUACCCAUUUCGAUACGUAGUCAACAGCAACCAAUAUGUAUUGAUGGCCAAAAGAAGGGGGAAAGAGUCCCAUAAAGUCGAUACCCCAUACAUAAAAAAUCUCAACCACUAAAAUUGGAUUUAGUGGCAUCAUAUUCCUUCGUGUAAUGCUCCCCAUUCGUUAACACCUAUCACAUGAAGAAUAGAAAGUGUAAGCGUCUCGAAAUAUAGUUGGCCAAUAGAAACCACAUUGUAAAACUUUAGUCGCUGUUUUCUUAGCGUUGAAAUGGCCUCCACAAGCUUGUUCAUGGCAGAAUAAAAGGAUAUUUUGAAUUUCACUUUCUGGGACACAUCGUCUAACAAUUUGAUAGGCACAAUACUUGAAAUAAUAAGGGUCAUCCUAAAAGAAAUUCUUUAUUUCCGUAAAAAAUUUGGCUUUGUCUUGCUUGGUCCAAUGCUCUGGAAGUUGACAUGUAACAAGAUAAUUAACGAUAUCAGCAUACCACGGUAAUACUUCCACACUCAUCAAUUGUUCAUCUAGGAAUGACUCAUUCAAUGUUAAUGGUUCUGUAAUUGUGUCAAAAUGGAGACGAGAGAGAUGGUCUACCACAACAUUUUCUGUGCCUUUCUUAUCUUUAAAUUUCAAGUCAAAUUCCUGCAAAAAGUAACACUCAACGAAUUAGUCUAGCUUUUGCAUCUCUCUUUGUGAGAAGAUAUUUGAGAGCAGUAUGAUCUGUGAACACAAUUAUUUUACAACUGAUAAGAUAAGAUCGAAAUUUUUCCAAUACAAACACUACUGCUAGCAUUUCUUUUUCAAUAGUUGAAUAGUUCAACUGUGCAUCAUUCAAUGUCAUACUAGCAUAGUAAAUAACAUGGGGAAUUUGAUCAACUCUUUGUCUUAAUACUGCUCCUACUGCAUAAUCAGAUGCAUCACACAUGAGUUCAAAUGGUAAGCUCCAGUUUGGGGGCUGAAUGAUGGGUGAUGAUGUCGACAACUGCUUUAAUUUUUCAAAUGCCACAAGACAUGAAUCAUUAAAGACAAAAGGUACAUCCUUAGCAAGUAAAUUGCAUAAGGGUCUAGAAACUUUACUAAAAUCUUUAAUGAAACAUCUAUAAAAACCAGCAUGCCCAAGGAAAGAUCUUACUUCUCUGACAGUUUUGGGUGUAGGAAGAUUAGAAAUGAGAUCCACCUUGGCUUUGUCAACCUCAAUACCUUUGCUCGAAAUGAUGUGACCGAAAACAAUACAUUAUUUUACCAUAAAAUGGAACUUCUCCCAAUUUAAGACUAAGUUCUUCUCGAUACAUCCCUGCAGAACUAGUGUUAGAUGAUGUAAACAUUGAUCAAAUGAAUCAGCAAAGACAGAAAAGUCAUCCAUAAAGACUUCAAGGAUUCGUUCAACCAUAUCAGAAAAAAUGCUCAACAUGCAUCGUUGAAAUGUAGCAGGUGCAUUACAUAAUCCAAAUGGCAUCCUCCUAUAUGCAAGAGUGUCAAAAGGGCAAGUGAAAAUGAUUUUCUCUUGAUCUUUUGGUGCUAUGGGAAUCUAAUUAUAUCCUGAGUAACCAUCUAGAAAGCAAUAAAAUUCAUGGCCUGCUAAUCUAUCAAGCAUUUGAUCGAUAAAUGGUAAAGGAAAAUAGUAUUUACGUGUGACAGAAUUCAACUUUCUAUAAUCAAUGCUUACACGUCAUCCUGUAGUCACUAUAGUGAGUAUCAAUUCAUUAUAGGCAUUCGUAACUACCGUGACUCCUGACUUUUUUGGGACAAUUUGUACAUGACUGACCCAUGAACUAUCAAAAAUGGGGUAAAUGAUACUUGCAUCUAAUAGUUUAAGGAAUUCAGUUCUAACAACUUCUUUCAUGUUAGGAUUUAACUGACGUUGCAUUUCCCUAGUAGGUUUAGCAUUUUCAUCAAGGUGAAUGUAAUGCAUGCAGUCUACUGGGUUUAUACCUUUAAUGUCUGCUAUGGUACAUCCUAAUGCUCCUUUGUGCUCUUUUAAAACAUCCAACAACUUACUUUUUUGUUCGUUAUUGGGGGAUGAUGAGAUGAUUACCGGUAGAGUACUUUCUUCUCCCAAAAACGCAUAUUCCAAUGUAUUGAGUAAUGGUUUGAGCUCGAGUUUCGGUGGUGAUUCUGAUGAUGGGAUGAGUUUCUUCUCUGACGGUGCUAGUUGUUCAACUCUUGACUUCCAUUUAUUAGUGUCCAUGGAUGGUGCUGAGUCAAGCAGGGCGUUGACCUCAUCAACUGAUCUGUCAAUAUCAAAAUCAAAACCAAAGUGAGUUAAACAUGUUUGUAAAGGGUCAUUACUAAGGUUUGAAAGAAAAGUGUCAUCAACUAAUGCUUCAAUUAAAUCCACAUCAACAAUUCUAUCAUCUGUAUUGUGAGGUUGUUUAGCAAUGUUGAAGAUGUUUAGCUCCAUAAUCAUGUUGCCAAAGGACAACUGCAUAUUUCCAGUUCUGCAUUGAAUGUGAGCAUCAGCGGUUACCAAGAAAGGUCGGCCUAGAAUAAUGGGGAUGUGCUUCCUUGAAUCCCGUGUUGGUUGAGUGUCAAUUACAAUUAAAUCAACAAGAAAAUAAAACUUGUCCACCUAGAUAAGCACGUCCUCCACAAUACCACGAGGUAUUUUCGUGGACCGAUCUGUAAGCUGUAACACCACUGGAGUUGGGUGUAAUUCUUCUAGUCCAAGUUUCACAAAAACUGAGUAAGGUAACAGAUUUACACUAGCUCCUAAAUCCAACAAAGCAUUCUCAAUUGUAUGGUUCCCUAUACUAUAUGAGAUAGUGGGGGAUCCUGGAUAUUUGCAUUUUAAAGGAAUUUUGUGUUGGAGUAUAGAACUAAUGUUUUCUGUUAAAAAUGCAUUCUUUUAAACGUGAAUGUUUCUCUUUUUAGUACAAAGGUCUUUAAGAAACUUGGCAUAAGAUGUAACUUGUUUUAUAGCAUCAAGUAAAGGGAUGUUAACACGUAUCUGUUUGAAGAUUUCAAGAAUCUCAUCUGUGGAUUUUUCUUUCUUUCCUUUAUUAACCUCUGAGGAAAUUGAGCUUUGGAAACAUAUUCUCGUGGGCUGGUUUCUUCUUUCUCUUCCGAUGGUGAGUAUGGGUUGAGAGUAAUUCUAGUUUUGAUUGUAUGGUCUAAAUGGUGACUGAGAGACUUGCGGAACUUGAGGAAUUUGUUGCAUUGGUGGAGCUGGAGCUGCUGGUCCAUUCUGUUGGAAUCCUUGAGACCGUGAAAAAUUGGGGUUGUCUCUCCAUCCAGGGUUAUAUGUAUUGGCGUAUGGGUUGUAAUUAGAUAGUUUUCUCAUUACACAUAUGGCAUUGGCUUGAUCUGAGUAUGAGUCAUGGUCAUAUGGUUCUGUUGAUUUAGCAGUCGUUAACGAUGCUAUUUGUCGAGAAAGACCUUCAAUUAUCGCUUUGACUUCUUUAAUUUCUGAACUUGACUCGCCAAGAUAAACCUCAUUUACUCCCUUAAUUCUUUUAGUAUUCCUGAGCGAUCGACUCCGUUGUUGGGAAUUAUUCGCUUGUCGCUGGAAGAAUUCUCAAAUCUCUGAUGCACUUUUUGACAUUAGCUCUCAUCCACUUGUUGCCAUUAGUCAUUCUUGCACAUUCGGCAAUAAUCCCUCCAAAAAAUAUUGGCAUUUGUGUCAUUUCUCGUACCCAUGAUGUGGACACUUCAAGAGUAGCCCAUUGAAUCGCUUCCAUGUUUCGAAAAACUGCUCAUCCUAUCUCUGGGUAAAAUCUGAUAUUUUCCUGCGAAUAGCAUUGGUUUUAUGCACUGGGAAAUAUUUAUUAAAAAAUUUUGUUACUGUUUGCGGCUGAUUUUGGGUCAAUGAAUAAAAAACCACAAAACCAACCUAAGAGCAAUAAAUUUAUAUUUUUGUCGAGGAGCGGGGUACCUCGCUUGUUCGGCACGUGUGGGCUAUUUAGGCUUUUUGUGGAGCGAAUGAGGAUUGAGAUGACGGAGGAUAUGGAGGGGGUCUGACUUUAGGUGCGGAGGACUGGUGAAACUCGCCUUAAACCUGCGAAACAAUAAAAAACGAGGUCAGAGGUGGAGCCGGGGGUGGCCGGCUACCACACUCCGACGCUCAAGUCAGAGUUGGGUUAUCUCAGGUUAGAGAGCUUGCAAGUUCUCGGUAAUGGAGAUUUUGAGGUUGAAGAAACCCUAGUUUUUUUGUGGUGAGUGUGUUCACUCCAUUGAUAAAAAUCAAACCUGAGUAUUUAUAUGGUGUACCCCGGUCGCCGUGCCACCUGGCGCUAUUUUAGUGGUGUUCCUUGCUGUCAUGUCAGGAAUAUUCUUAUUUUCAUGCGUAUAGCGGCUUAGACGUUUCAAAAAUAUGAGUAGAGCGCAAGUUUGUGGUGUAUUCACGUGCUGGGCGUAGUGGAGUGGUCCCGCGUACCUCUGCAAUUUCGUUGUAAUUUUGCAGGCGUAGCAGGAAAAGCUGGUGGUCCCAACUGUCACAAUAUCACACUUUUGGCGGAUUUGCUGGCGUGACAGGCGGCUGUCUCCUCUUUUGCGGCACGAGAUUUCCUUAUUUUUUGACACGUAUCAAACCGAUCUUUUUGAGAUUCGGGGCCCACAUAUCCCUCCACAUAUUUACGAAGACUUUUGUAUCAUUUCAUGGUGUACCCGAGGUACCCCCGGAGUGCUUAGGGUAGCCGGGGUACCUAGGGUACUCGAGAUAAAUUCAUCUCUUAAAUAUCGACACGUGGCGCUUCAUCAUUGGCCUCAUAUUUCCUUCCCAAACAACAUCCCCCUAGUUUCUUUGUGGUGAAUGUAAUUGAGGCGCAAGAAACUCUUGAGGAACUGUGUGACACGUGACGAUAUUUACCUUUUUUUUUUUUUAAGGAACUCUUGAAGGAACUCUGAACUGGUCCCUGUCUUCACGUCUCUCCAGCUUUCCUUGGGGAAGUGGUAACCGCCUGACACAUGAUUUAAAUUUGAAAACACCCUUCUGCAAAAAUUAUUUGACCUCUCACUUCAUGAAGGACGAUUUGUCAGGUUUAAUUAAACAUGUUCCACUCCUUUUAUGUUACCACUUUAUUUUGAAACUCCCAAAAAAUCUCCCAUCAAAUUUAAAUGCUUCCAGUGACUUCUUGUUUGCUCUGGCUUUCAAAUUUCAAAACCAGUCAAAUCAUUUCAACCCCAAGCUUCGCAUCGUGUGCAAUUUGUUUUUUUUUUUAAACAAACCACUUUCUGUACGUUUUCACUCCCACUUUAUUCUCUGUCAUUUUGCAAUUCCCAAAAACUUUUUCUCUUCUUCUCCAAUUUCCAACGCCUCCCCAUCUCCAUUUUUUCUUCUUUAUUCUGCCUUUUGCUUCUUGCCCUUUCGGCUUCCAUCUCCUUUCUUCCUUUUUUUUUUUUUUUCUUUGCUUGCUCUCGGCCCACCAUCACAUUUUCUUUCUCUUUUUGCAUUCCUCAUUUUUCUCUUUUCUUUAUCUUCUUCCAGGCAACUUUUACUCCCUUUUUUUCUUUUCAUCUUCUUUUUUUUUCCUUUUUUUUUUCUUUCCUUUUUUUUUUCCUUCUCGGCCAGCCUUGGUUCCCGUGAUUUCCGGUGGUGGCAUGACGAUGGCGUUCGGCUAGUGGUGCAGUGAUCUCCUUGUGGUAAGCCAUCUUCUCCCCCCCAUUUUGCUUCUUCUUCGUUUCUUCCACUGGCCUUACCACAAGCCUCUUCAUUUAUUUUUUUUUAUAAUCCAUGCUCCUCCUCUUUUUCCUUUUAAAUCAGCCAGACAAUUUCUUCUUCUUUUUUUUCUUUUUUUUUUCUUAUUCUGAUUUCCUUUUUUUUUUUUUAAUUCUGACUUCCUCUUUUUUUUAUAUCUCCAGGCUCCCUCCAUUUUUUUUAUAUCAUCCAAGCUCAUUUUUUUUUUUAACGGAUUUCAUUGUGUCCAUGACAGACUCUGCACAGCUCCAUCUUUUAAGCAUUUUUCGGCGAUCUGUGACUUCUCUUGGUGAUUUAUAGUCUAAAACUUUACUCUUUGGCGACUGAAAUUUGCUGCUCUCGGUGAGAUCUAGGUAUGAAUUUUUAUACCUAUUUUUGGCUUCUUUAUUUUGAAAAGUAAUGUUGUGGCUUUGUUUCUGGAUUUGUUUCCGGUUUUCAUGCAAAGUGUUGGCAUUUUUCUUUUUUGUUUAUGCUUUUAUUGGUGGAUGUUGGUGUUUGGCUUGUGAUGGAUGAGGUAUGAAGUUGUGGGGGUAUGUUUUGAUGUGGAGGCUUUCUUUUUCAACUUGUGUCUUGUGUUUUUAGGAGAACAAGAUGGGGAGAAAAACUUUUGGGAAAAAGGGUCGUAAUGUGGUCAGGGAGCCGGGGGAGACGAGUGAGGAGGCUCCCCUUUCUGAUUCAGCCCCUUAUAUAUCCCUUAGUGACGACAAUGGAUCCCCUACAGCUAGUCCCAAGUUAUCUCGAACCAAACCUAAUAAAAAAUCAAAGAUUAAAGGCAAACACCCAGCCAAGUCAGCCCAUAGAAAAACUCGUGCAAAGACAUCCAGACCCAAAUCUCCUGUUCCUGUCAGCAUUCCAGAACCUCCCCUGAUCUCCCCCUCUGUCCAUGUAGCUCGUAAGCUCUAUGCACUAAGGGGUAGGCCGGCUACUCUGAGAGACUUAGAAAGGGUUAGAGCCAAGUACAACAUACCUCAGUCUGUCCACCUUAGGGUACCUCGCAAGGGCGAGCGCCCCGAGCACCCUCAUUCUGAUGGUGUUGCCCUUCAUAUCAACCUUUUUUACUUAGGUCUCCGUUUACCCCUUCAGCCAUUUUUUAGAAAAAUGUUCGCUGAGAUGAAAAUUGCUCCCCGGACAAUUAUCCUUACUCUGUUGGAGAUUACUCACGGGUCUGGAGGUUUUGUGGCUAGAUAUUUUUGGGGAAGAUAUUUCUUAUGGAGAUCUAAGGGAGCUUUAUCAGUUGAAGAAGCCCGCUGGUUUAUCCGUAGCCUAUUUUGCUACUUGGGGGGUUCAUGGUAAUUUGGUGAGACCGGAUACCUUGCUGAAAAAGGGCUACAGAUAUGGGUGGUUUAUGGCUGAGGGCGAGUGGGGGAAGAACAUUCCAGCGGGGAAUGAAGUUGUGCAAGUUCGGAACUUCUUCAAUGAAGAUAGUAUGUGUUUCUUUCCUCUUCUCUCAUUUUCUAUGUAUAUAUACACCUCUUCGCAUGAAUUUUCUUCUUAUUCAUUAUUUUUUGGGAUUUUUGCAGACAUCACUUGGACCAAGGGAACGUGCCCAAUCCAUGAAGUGGGGAGGAAAGUGAAUGGUGUUAUAGAGAAGUUUCAGAUUUUGCAGAGUAAAGGUGAUGUUCUAUGCACUUCCUAGUUAGCGAGAGCUGGUCUGAUUAAGGAGAGUUUUCAGUCUUCUUCGGGGGGCGAUUCACGUAUGGCUAUGUGGUGUUGCUGGGGUACCCCGCCUUCAUUGGUUCUGUGGGGUGCCCCCAUUAUUUGAACAAACUUUUUUUUUUAUGCUUUGGUGGCCAUUUCUUAUUUUUUCUUAAUGUGCCUUUUUGCCAAUGACGACUCUGUUGUUUAUUUUCCUGAUUUGUCUCUUUGUCUCACCUCUUUUUUUUUUUUUGGAUAGGCAUGGACCAUUUUGGCGAAGAUUUUGACGCUUUCUUCAGUCGCAUGAGCGGCAGCUCCUCCGGUACCCUGGGUACCUCCGCAAAAGGUGACUAACCUCCCGUUGUUCCAGGCGACAAAGGUAAAUUGACCGUCUCCUCUCUUGGGGGUUCUCGGGGUACCCCGGCUACCUACAAGAGGAAGUUUGGAUCCCUUUUCACGGCUCCUGGAGACCUUAUAGAGGGCGAGCUGGAUCCAGUGGCUAACAAGCAGAUAUCGCACCUGAUUGAUUGCUUCCUUCAUUCCUCUGAGAGUAUUUCCACAGACGGGGCAAUGAAGUCAGAUAAAUUAGAUUUAAAUGAGCGCUAUAGCCGAGCGCUCAAAGCUUGUCAUGACGUGAGUGCCUCUCACUCUUUUCUUUUCAUUCUUUCUCUUUUUUUCUUUUAAUAUCGUCUUGGCUCCCUUUCAUUUUCUUUAUUAUUAUUUGUGUAGGCAGCUUUCUACCUUAGCCACGGUCUCCGAGACCUUAGUGGCAUCUCGGCUGUACAGACCGAGGUAGAGAGGCUGCGAGGUGAGGUUAGGCUCGGCCAGUCUCGGGAAGAGAAGCUAGGAGAGGAGGUCAGGGCUUUCCAAAGGCGCUUGGACGACCACGCCUGGGAGAACAGCCGAUUGUCUAGGAAGUUGGAAGAGGCGGAGUCUAAGCACGGCGAGCUACUAUCUCGCCAACCAGAGAUGAUGGACAAGGCCUUUACUCUUAUCAUACUGAGGUCUGGAGCGUCGAGCCUGAGCUGGUGGUAUCCCGGGUGGAGAAAUGGGUGGACAAGUCGGCCAUCCUUAAAGCGAUAGAGGACAAGAGGGCUACCCAGGCUCCCCCAUCUCACAGCCCACAGCAAUCUUUUGGGGUACCCCAGGUACCCCAGGCGGAUCUCCCUUCGGUUAGCGCUGUUCAUGCGGAUAGCCGCUCUUUGACUGCGAGUGUUCCUGUUGAUGCCCCCAUUCAGGGGAACGGUGGAGAGGAUGUCCCCCCUUCUGCUUGAUCUUACUUGUUAUUCAAAAUUUUAUCUCGAGAUGUCUUAGCAGCUUUCUUUCUUUGCUUAUGUACCUUUUGUAGUAUGGUAUUAUCCUUUUGAUGUGUUGGGAUACUUGUCUUUUAGAAGGUUGCCUCAGCAAUCUUGCCUACUCGUUCGCAUUAACUUCUGCAAUAUACUUUAUUUGGCGUGCCAUUGAAUUCCUUGCUUAUGAUUGAGAUGUCUUAGCAGCUUUCUUUCUUUGCUUAUGUACCUUUUGUAGUAUGGUAUUAUCCUUUUGAUGUGUUGGGAUACUUGUCUUUUGGAAGGUUGCCUCAGCAAUCUUGCCUACUCGUUCGCAUUAACUUCUGCAAUAUACUUUAUUUGGCGUGCUAUUGAAUUCCUUGCUUAUGAUUGAUUUGCGUAGCCUCGCAGGGGUUCCUCGGGUGCCCCAGGUACCCCCCUGAUGUAUUUUUGGCGCUUAAGUGAUGAUUUCCGUAGAUGUGCUCAUUGCUCGUCUUAAUAAAGAUUAUGGCGUAUCUCAAAAUAAUUUAAUAAUUCGCAUAUCAUCAUAAGAUAAAACGAAAUUCAUAUUUGGCGCAACUAGGAUAAAAUAAAGAUUAUGGCGUAUCUCAAAUAGACUUGUGGAGUUUCUUGGGUACCCCGGGUACCCUCCUUUUUUUUUCGAAGACCUUCUUGGCCCAUUUUCUUACAGAAAUGGUAAAAAACAUGCUUUUUUUGCCAUCCGCUUCUAGUCAAUAUUUAAUAAAAUAAUGCGAAUAGAGGGGCACGCUUGCCUACCUUGUUUCGUUUAUCUAUUCUUUACUUGGCUCAAGUAAAAGAAUUGAGGUGUGGGCGUGUGCAUACCUUAACGGAACCUCAUGGCGCUAGAGUAUGCUGGUUUACCUCACCCUCGGGCCUUCUCUGACCCUCCCUAUUUAAUUUUGUUGUAUUAUUUCUUAUUGGCGUUGACCUCGAACAGAUCUUCACGAUCGAAUCGAGUCAGAUACCUCAGGUUCCCCUGAUUAUCUUGAAAUGGAGCAACUAUAGUUGAAUAAGACAUGGCGUAAUAAGAGAGAGUCACAUUAAUGGCGAAAAUUUAACCAUAAUCACAUUCGGUAAUCAAAAGGAGAACAUUACAUAAGACUGACUCAUUAUCCCAAUGAGAAUAGGAAACCGUAUAGAUAUCCACUCUCUAGGACUUAGGGAAUUAAAAAUUUCACUUGCACAUACGGGGUACCCUAAGUACCUUUCAUGGCUUUACCACAUUGCACACAUAGUAAAGAAAAUAAGAAAUAGAUAAAGUGAACGAUAAGGUUUAAGACAUUGUCCUCAUGUUAGUAGUACUUCCUCAGCAUUGCGGCAUUCCAGGGAUGCUUGACGAUUGUUCCAUCCAUGUGGAGUAGUCUGUAUGCCCCCGAACCUACCGGCUUGUCUAUACGAUAUGGGCCUUCCCAAUUGGCUCCGAAAGAGCCCUCCGAGGGUACCCGGGUAUUCUGAGUUACCCUUCGUAGGACUAAAUCCCCUUUCUUGAAUGAUCUGGGGCGUACCCUCUUGUCGUAUAAAUCUGAAACGCGGUGCUGGUAUAUUGCAACCUUCAAUUCUGCUUUGGCCCUUUUUUCUUCAACAAAAUCAAGAUUGGACGCAAUCAAAGAGGCAUUCUCGGCUUCAUCGAAGUAUGCGGUUCUGUGAGAGGGUAUCUCGAUUUCAGCUGGAAUGACUGUAUCAGUCCCGAAAGCCAGAGAAAAUGGGGUUUCCCCAGUUGAAAUAUUCUGAGUUGUCCGAUAGGCCCAAAGAACGCCGGGUAACUCGUCUACCCAAGCUCAUUUCCUUUCCUCCAGCCUCUUCUUUAGGAUACCUUUGAUGAUUUUUUUGAUAGCUUACACUUGUCCAUUAGAUUGCGGGUGAGCCGGAGAAGCAAAUCGGUUGGCUAUCCCAAUUCUGAAAUUUUUCGUUAUCGAAUUGCUUCCCGUUGUCGCUGACAAUUGCAUUAGGGAUAUCAUAUCUGCAUAUGAGGUUCCUCCAAACAAAAUCAGUGGUUUUUCGCUUCGUAAUACUUGCCAACGGCUUCGCUUCUACCCACUUUGUGAAAUAGUCAACGGCUACAAUUGCAUACUUAGCUUGUCCUCUACCAGUUGGUAAUGGGCCAAUGAGAUCUAUACCCCAAACAGCAAAUGGCCACGGAGAAGACAUGACAGUUAACUUUUCUAGUGGAAGGUGGGGUACCUUGGCAAAUCUCUGGCACUUGUCACAACUCUUGACCAUGUUUUUGGCAUCCUCCUGCAUCGUAGGCCAAUAAAAUCCUUGAUGAAGAGCCUUCUGUGCCAAUGAUUGUGCUCCAUAGUGGUUACCGUAAGUCCCUUCGUGUAUCUCUCUCAUGACAUAUUCGGCAUGUUCAUUUCCUAAGCACUUUAAGUAAGGGAGGGUAAACCCUCUUCUGAAUAAGGUAUCCUCGAUGAGACAAUAUCGAGCAGCUUUGUACUUUAGCUUCCUUGCUUCAUUCUUGUUUGAGGGCAGAUCCCCAUUUCUGAGGUAUCUUAUGAUUGGUUGCAUCCAUGGUACCCCAGCAGUUAUCGACCCUAUUUCUUCUGGCUCAAGUAGAUUAACACUGAGUGUAGGUACGUACUCAGCAGUGAUUGGACCAACCGACUGAGUUGCACCGAAGGAAGCCAUUUUGGCGAGGUUAUCAGCUUCACAAUUUUCUAAUCGUAGAACUCUUUCCACAUUGACCUCAGCAAAUUGAGAUAUUAAUUCUCUUCUUCUCCCGAGGUACCCCUUCAUAUUUUCUUCCUUAGCCUGAUAUUUUGAGUUGAUCUGACCGACCACCAAUUGAGAGUCACUUUUGAUGUGGACUCUUUUUGCGCCCAAGGCCUUCGACAUCCUUAGCCCCACUAUCAUAGCUUCAUAUCCGGCUUCGUUGUUUGAGGCCUUGAACCCGAAUUGCAAGGCAUAACAUAGCUUCACCUUAUCCGGAUCGAUGAUUAUUACUCUCGCAUCGCUUCCGUGCGAGUUGAAGGAACCAUCCAUAUAAAUUUUCCAGACAUGCUCUUCUUCAAUAGCUGAUAUAGUUUCGCCCGGGUACCCCGGGAUCUCCUCACCCCCAGAGUCAUUGGCGAAUUCUGUAAUGAAAUCGGUGAUGGCUUGGGAUUUAAUAGCUGAGCGUGGCUUGAAGAUGAUGUCGAACUCACUCAAUUCAAGAGACCAGCGAAGAAGUCUUCCAGACAUGUCUAACUUCUGGAGGAUUUGUCGAAGGGGAAGGUUUGUUGCAACGACAAUGGUGUGGGCCUAAAAAUACGGCCUGAGUUUCCUUGCAGAGAUUACCAAAGCCAAAACCAGCUCUGUGGCAGGGUACCUCUUUUCCGCAUCCACCAUUGCCCUACUAGUAUAGUAAAUAGGGCGUUGCACCCCGUCUUCAUCUUCUCUAAGCAACACCGAGCUAGUGGCGUGCUCGAAAACAGCGAGGUACAACAGAAGCACUUCUCCAUGCUUAUGCUUGGCGAGCAACGGCGAAUUAACGAGGUACUCUUUUAGCUUCUGAAAAACCUCUUCGCAUUCGGCGGUCCAUUGGAGCUUCUUUCCCGCUUUCAAAGCUUUAAAAAAUGGUUUGCACCUAUCGGUGGCCUUGGAGAUGAAACGACUCAAGGCGGCUAUUCGGCCAGCUAAGCUUUGGACUUCCUUGAUGGUACUUGGUGACUUUAUCCCAAGAACCGCCCGGAUUUUGUCGGGAUUAGCCUCAAUUCCCCGCUGUUGUACCAUAAAUCCAAGGAAUUUACCCGAAGUCACCCCGAAUGCGCAUUCCUCAGGAUUUAGGCGCAUCUGAUGCUUUCUCAAAAUAUUGAAGGUGUCUCUGAGGUGCCCCGAGUGAUCACUAGUGUACACCGACUUUGUUAUCAUAUCAUCGAUGUACACCUCCAUGGUACGACCAAUUUGCUGUUUGAAUACCUUGUUCACCAAACGCUGAUAGGUGGCGCCCGCAUUCUUUAAACCAAAAGGCAAAACCUUGUAGUAGUAUAACCCACGGUUGGUGAUGAAGGCCGUUUUAUCUUGAUCAGGCUCGUACAUUGGAAUUUGGUUGUACCCGGAGAAAGCAUCCAUGAAACUAAGCAUCUCGUGCCCAGCCGUAGCAUCGACCAGCUGGUUUACCCGGGGAAGCGGGAAGCUAUCCUUAGGGCAAGACUUGUUUAAAUCCGUGAAAUCUACACACAUGCGCCAUUUCACGUUAGACUUCUUAACCAAUACAACAUUUGAGACCCAAUCGGGGUAAACCACCUCCUUAAUAAACCCCGCUGUUGGCAAUCGGUCCACUUCUUGUUCGAUGGCGUCAUAGCGUUCCUGGUUGAAAGCUCGACGUUUUUGCUUGACAAGCCUAUGAUGUGGAUCGACAUUGAGUUUGUGAUAGGCGAUGGAAGGCGGGAUACCCGGCAUGUCCACGUGAGACCAAGCGAACACAUCUAAGUUUUUCUUUAAGAACUCAAUAAGCUGCUCUCGGUGUUGGUCAGAGAGGUUGGAGCCUACCUUGACCAUCUUGGUUGGGUCCUUAUUGCAGAUCAAAACAAACAUAAGAUCCUCAACCGGUGUUCCUCGCUUUUCAUCUUUCGAUACCCGGGGAUCCAGGGGUACCUCGACUUCUCCUAUUGAUGCUGAAUUGGGACUUUGGGGUACCAGUGGUGCCUCAGGAGCUACCAUGUCCACUUCCAUUGGCCCAGCUUCAUAUGGCGCUUGGGGUACCUGGGAGUUCGUGGACCGUUGAGCUUUCUUACGUGCAACUCUCCGGUGUCUAGCCAGUGCCCGCUUGGAUAGGCUGGUAAAUGGUCUUGUGCUGACGGGGUACCCCUCCAGGAACAUAUUGGUGGCGAUUUGAUAGCUCACUUUCGAUGCGACCAAGUAACACCCUCGAGCCGAUUGCUGAUCCCCUUUAAUCGUGAUAAUUUCCCCAGCGGUUGGAAUCUUCAUGCGAGGUAAUGCAUGGAGAUUGCCGCCUUAGUUGUUGCUAAGAAUUGUCUUCCCAAUAUAAUAUUAUAGGCACCUGGGUGAUCCACAAUAAGAAAAUCAAUCAUAUGAACAACACGGUGAGGUACCUUACCAAGUGUAAUAGGCAGCGUGAUGAUGUCCUUUGGGAUAACCAUAUCACCGGCGAACCCAAUAAGAGGUGUAGCACAUGGGGUGAUCUUUGGCGAUUCAAUCAAUAGUUGAUCCAAGGCGCUUUUGAAAAUGAUAUCAACGGAGCUGCCUGUGUCUACGAGAGUUCUUACUACUUUACCAGUAGCAACCUUCAACGUAAUUACUAAGGCGUCGUCAUAGGGGUACGAGACAUCUUCAGUAUCUUGCUCUGUGAAAAGGAUAGGCGGGGGAUGGUGGGGUACCCCAGAUACCCUAAGUUGAUUAUGACAAGCGAAGUUCACUUCUUUUCCAAGGCGAUCUAAAAUUGGUGGCUUGCUGUAACGUUUGAUAGCCCGUCUAAAUUCCCGAGCGAGGGUAGGACCUCCUGCUAUCAUUCGAACAUACACGCCUUUCUUAGACCCCUGGGGUAUCUCGGCUUCGGGAUGAGGGUUAACAACUUGUUUACCCUUAUCUUGCUCCGAGAACUUCCUUGCCUCACGCAUAUCAGCCACAAAUUCCUUAAGAUACCCACUCAGAAUCAAUGACUCAAUUUCUUCCCUUAAGUGAAAGCAUUCGGCGGUGCUAUGGCCGAAAUCUUCAUGAAACUCACAAUACUUCAAGCUACGCUUCAUAUUGGGGUAUUUUCGAAUUGGCUUAGGUGGGCGAAGUAUCCUCGUAUCCCUAAUAUGGUAAAAAAUUUGUUCUGGAGAUUGAUUCAAAUGGUGGAAAGAGUCAUAUCUGGAUUUUUGUGGUGCUUCCCGUUGUUCUGGCAGUAGCGGUGGGCUAUGUACUCGGGGUGCUCAGGAGGGUACCUAAGGUACCCGGGGUACCCAAGGUACACCAGGGAUAUUCAGUCCUCUCCCACGUGGGGUUGGACGAGGUGGGCUGUGUACCCGGGGUGCUCAAGAGGGUACCUGAGGUACCUCGGCUCUCUUGGGUUUCUCCUUAUUUCUCACAACUUCGACUUUGUCUUCCUCCCGCUUUAGGUUACACUUCUCAUCCAUUUCUAUUUGUUGCAGGGCUCGAGAACGAGCUUCCUCAUAUGAAAUAGGGCGGUGUUUUUGAAAUGACUGCCAUAACUUCCACAAAUGCAAAUUCUUUUCAAAAUAAGUGAGAGUAUGUUGGUGACCAAAUGUACCGGUACGCAACACCUCUUGGUGGAAGCGGGUUACGUAUUCGGCUAAAGAUUCUGAAUCCCCUUGCUUGAUGAAAGCAAGCUUGGUGGAUGUUAUAUCUUGGGCGGAUGCAUAACCAAACUCAUGAACAAAAUCUUUUAGGAGCUGGUCUAAGGAGGAUACACUACCUGCCUUCAACGAUCGGAACCAUGACUUGGCUGGUCCAGUGAGGGUAUGCGGGAACAUCCGGCACAUAGCAUUGUCGCCCACUCCUUUAAUCAUCAUCUGGUCACGAUAUAACUCAGCAUGUUCCACAGGGUCCGAGGUACCCGAGUAUUGUUGUAUUUGAGGCAUGGUGAACGCUUCCAGGAGAACCGCUGUCCGAAUCUCCAUGGUGAAUGGCGAGUUAUGCACUGCUGGCGCU